CUACAAAGAAGUUCUAAAAGACUACAAGAAAGAGUUUCCACUAAAGAAAAACAAUGAAACCAUUUCUACUAAAGACAAACAAUGAAACCACAGAUGCUUUGUGAAAUAUGUACCCGCACAAUCCAACAAACUUUAGAAAUUCACAAACACUACCUAGAAUUUUUGCUGACCAGCAAAAAAUUUAUGCAAUUUAAUUCUUAUUGUUAUUAUUAUUUUCAAUGUGAACAAAUAUGAUUGAAUUAUGAAGUAUUUGGCCAGAAGAGGAUCUUGCCUAAUUAUAGUCAUUAAACAACCAUUUAUACCAUAGCCUCUAGACUUUAAAAAGUUUAUAAAACUCAAGGGCUUCCACCCAAUUUCUAGAUAUCUCCAUAACAUUCUUCUGACUAUUAGAAAGCAAUUACCACUUUAAUUUUUCAUUUCAUGAGUGUUCAAUUCAGAAAAAGACCAGGAUCGAACUUGCGAUCAUGCAGUCGAAAAUCCACCUGUGCAUGAAACUAUUGCCUCACGAUUGCAAACUCAAGUUGGAGUCCAGUAACAACUCUAGGUUUGCUGAUGUGCUCCAUUUGAAAUAAAGGAACUAAAGAAUACUUUAUAAAGAUUAAUUACCUUCAUAUUUUAGGUUGGGGUUAAGGCAAAAUGUGAUAGAUUGAGAGGAAGAAAAUAUAUCUUGUUCAGGAAGCCAAUAUUUUGGAGUUCACCUUUCCAUUCGAGUCCACUCUGCUAUAGCAAAAUCAGAGUCACAACUAUGCCUCUUUAAGCUAUCCUUUAAUUGGAUGAAUUGCAGAUUUGGUUGCUGAGAAAGUGGAUAAGAAAGAAAAAUGCAUACUGUAGCUUGAGAUUAAGAGUUUGUUUUCUAAAAUGAGAGAAAGGGAAAGAGAAAAAAUGCAUAUUGUAGCUUGAGAUUAAGGGUUUGUUUUCUAAAAUGAGAGAAAGGGGAAGAGAAAUGUUCGACAACUUUGAGAUGACAAAUUUUUAGAUUUGGAAAAUUUGAGAUGAGUCUCAGGUUUUUUUUUUUUUUUUUUUGUCUUUGUCUUUGUUUUUUUUUUUUUUUUUUGUUUUUUUCCCAAAAACAACCUGUUAAUGUGGUUGUUGACAUAGAAGUGGGUGAGGGCAAAAUGGGCAUAGAAAAAAGAGUCAACACAAAGUGCACAAAACCCAUAUUAUUUUCCACAUUAAUGACUGAUUCUCAUAUUUCUUGUUCUUGGGAUUUGAAAACCAUAUUAUUUGCAAAUGGACCUCCCAAAGCACAGGUUUCCCUUAGUUUUAUGUCUCCAUCUACAUUUUACAUAUAAAUAGAUUAUUUUAUAAAAUUUGUUUUGUAGAUAUAUUAGUUAAUAAUUAUAUAAUUAAUGAUAUAGAAAACAUAUAAAAAUCAUAUUUAAAAAAGAUAAUUACAUAUUCCUCAACAAUCCAUCCCAAGAAUUCGAGGUUGAGUUGAAAACAUGUAGAGUCUUUGAUGUUAUUAUAAUCAUAUCCAACACAUAUGAUUAUUGUUUAUGAGAUAUUAUUAGAAAGUUUGUCUUAAAAUAAUUGAUUUAUUACCCACCUUUAGCAAAUGCCCAUUUUUGCGUCUUUCAAAAUUUUCAUUUUUUUUUUGUUUAAAAGAAGUAUUGUAAAGAAUGAUGAAAUAAGAAAUUUGUUGAGAAAGUGUGAGUAAAUAAUUUUACAUAAAAAGAGAUUUAAUACUUGAUAAAUAAAAUAAUAAAAUCAUGAUUUCUAGUUGUAUAGGGCCGGGUGGAUGGAGUGGCUAAGAUGUAAUUCUUGAAAUAGAGGAGACAACAUCAAUGUAUAAAAGUUUAACAGAGAAGGAAAGUGUGUUUGAAUGACUUUAUUUUCUUCAUUUAAAGUUUUGACGAUGAGUGUUUAUACAAGAUAAAUUUUCAAAUGAUAGGACUCCUAUUUACAUGGAGUUUGUGAUAUACUAUGAUUAUACAAAUUUAAAAUUCAAACAGAUUCAUGAGUUGAUAGGAGUCUGCUCAAUACGCCCCUUCAAAAUGGUGGGAGAUAGCACACCAAUCUUGACUCGAAGGGCCUAAACUCGUGCAGAAGAUGAGGGCUUUGUUAGAGCAUCGACAAGUUGAUCCGUGGUUGACAUAUGGGACACCUUGAGCUCACCUGAUUAAACCUUGUUUCAAACAAAAUGAAAAUCAAUCGCCGAUGUGUUUCAUGGAGAGUGAAACAUGGGAUUUGCACAAAGAUAUGUUGCACCCACGUUAUCACAAGAGAUAGGAGGUGGUGAUAAAUUUGAAACACUAAGUUUUGAGAGAAGAGAAUUAACCCAAAGAACCUUUGAGGCUGUAGAGGCCACGACGUGAUAUUUCGCUUCAGUGGAAGAGCGUGCUAUGAACUUUUGUUUCCUCGAUGACCAAUACACAAGAUUGUGACCAAGAAAAACAAUGGGAGCAUUGGUGGAGGAUCUGACAUAAGGAUUCCUUGCCCAUUCAACAUUCGAAUAUGCAUGUAGAUUGAUGGGCGAUUUCUUAUGCAAGAACAGACCAUGCACCAUUGUGCCGACUAAGUAUCUAAGCAAUCUUUUAACACAAGACCAAUGUGUUGAUGUUGGAUGGUGCAUAAAUUGAGAUAAUUUAUUCAUCAAGAAGGUGAUGUCAGGGCUAGUAAGAGAGAAGUAUUGAAGGCUUCCAACAAUUGACAUAUAUUUAGUGGGACCAGGAAAAGAGGUGUCAUCACACAGAUUUGGAACAUUGUUGAGGAACAUCAAUGAUUGAACUGGUUUGGUAGCCACCAUUUGUGUUUUCUUAAGAAGCUCUCGAAUGUACUUGAGAUAAAAAUAAUCCUUUGGAAGUAUGUAUCAUUUCAACACCAAGAAUAAAAGAUGAAGUCCUGAGAUCCUUAAUGGAGAAUUUGACUGCUAAUUGAGAGAUCACGCGAGCACGAAAAACAUUAUUGUUACUUGUUAAAAUAAGAUCAUCAAUAUAAAUAAGUAGGUAAACAAUGAGACCACUCUUUUUAAAAAUGAAGAGGGAUGUCUCGGUUUAGGAGUUGACGAAGGCUAUUGAGAGGAGAAAUUGGCAAAGUUCAUGAUACCAUGAUCGUGGAGCUUGUUUAAAGCCAUAAAAAGCCUUACAAAGUUGGCAAAUGUGAUGAUGUGUGUAUUCGUGAACCCAGGAGGUUGAAUCAUGUAAACAUCUUCAUGAAGUGUCCUAUGCUAGAAUGCAUUAUUAAUGUCCAAUUCAUGAGUUGAUAGGAGUCUGCUCAAUACAAUGUGGGAGUGUGAUUUCAAAAUUAGGGUAAUUUCGAAAUGGAUUUUGUAUUCACAAGUUGAAUUUCAAAAUUAUUUUGAAAUGGUCUUUUAACUUUAAGCAGUUGUGUUCAAAAGGUCAUAACUUCUUCGUUUCAAUUUUGAUUUACACAUUGUUUAAAACAUUGGACUCUUUACUUCCCGAGCUUCAAAACGAUAUAUAGUAUGCUCAAAAAUGACAUCAGGAUUGGUUCAAAUUUCAUCUUGAUAUUAGAGUACAUGUUGUGAUUAGAUUUUGAGUUCCAAAUUUCCAUGUAAACUUGAUUGCAUUUGCUUCAAACCUCCUUCAUUAUGGUUGCUUGCCCUCUAUCUCACUUUGCAACAUUUGUUACUAGUAUUUUAUGUCCAUGACUUACUCAUUUCAACCUUUCUUGGAUUCUUCAUGGUUCACAAAUUAUGGAUUCUUCAUGGUUCACAAAUUGAGUCUUUCAAUUAUGCAUGUUUAACUCCUAUUUCCUUGGUUGAUAAUGACUUUUACACUUAUCAUUUUCUUUUAUUCUUUAAACCUGAAUUUAGACUUACAAAAAAAAGUUAGAUCCAUAACUAGGGUCUUAGCAUCAAUUUGAGUUAAGUUGGAUGAUUUGAAAAUUUUAUAUUACAUAAAUCAUAUCAUACAUGUGCCAUUGGAGUGCACAUUUUGGCUCUAAUCAUGUUCCAACCCAUUGUUUUACUCUUGCAUGAAGUAUGUGGCCAUUGAUUUUAAUUUUAUUUGCGAUUAGGUUCAAAAUGGUGCUUUUGUGUUGCUCAUGUGUCAUCAGAAGAUCAACUAAUGGAUUCUCUAACAAAACUACUACAUCAUAGUCAUUUUUUUUUUUCUUAAGACCAAGAUUGAGAUCUCCAAUCGGAGCCAACUCCAUCUUGGGGGCAUGUUAGUGAAAGAUAAAAUUUAUCUUUAAUUUAAAUAUUAAUAUUUAUCAGUUAUUAGUUUUAAUUAGAGUAAAAGAUAGAGUUUAAAUUGGAGUAGGAGAUAAACUUGUGUUUGAACUAGAAUAGAAGAUAAAGUAUAAAGAUUUAUGUUUGAAUUAGAAUAAAAUAUAAAGUUUGAAUUAGAGUAGAAGAUAAACUUGUUCUUUAUUUGUAUAUAAAUAUUCAUCAAUUCUUGAGAAGAAGAUUAUUUCAUAGUUUUUCUAUCUUCUUUUUUCUUCAUACAUAUCUGCAAGAAAUUGAAGAUUUCAAGUAAAAUAUUUUCUGUUUUAAAUAGUGAAAAAAGCUAGAAAUUCACUUUGUUAUCUCUUGGGGUAAAUUGACAAGGUUUAACGUUAAGAAGGUGAAUUAUUUUUUCAGAAAAACUGAAGUAGCUAGGAUAUCUGGCCAGUUGUGAUCGAUAAAAAAGUUGUAAAAUCUCUCAUAUACUAAACAGGUUUUGGAUGUUGGUAUGGUAAAUCCAUCUGCAGUCAUUCGUCAUCUCAUCUAGUGAGAUGUUUGGGAGGUGGUGACCGCCGGAUUGGGUUUCAUUUGGUUAAAUCUGUCAGUGGGUUGGCUACUACCCGAGCCUCUUGCUUUGGGGGAGGUGGGUUCUAGAUAUAAUGUUCAAACCAUUUUAGUUAUCAUAUGCAUGACAUGUAAGCAUAAUCUCUUUAUCACUUCUUCAAUGGGAGUUCAUGGUUAGGAAUUGACUUCUUUUCUUCUGGGAUGCUUGGCAUGUAAUGGACAAAGUUACUUUUAUAUCGAUCGAAUUUCUAGUAUUAUAGUGAAGACUUACCCUUUUGACAUUUUAUAUCGAAUUAUAGAAGAUGAAAGGGACAUACAUGCAAUCGACUGACGCUUUAGUGAAUAUGCUGAAAAUAUGCUGAUGCUGUGGAGAUCGUAUGAGGACAGAGGAAAAAGAUAGAAAUGGAUAUAUAAUUAGACCUAGGUUUUUAUUAAAUGAGAUGGGGAACAUAGAGUGAGGGAAAAUCAAAAUUUUUGGCUGCAGUUCACAUUGGUGAUAUUUUGGAUUGACAAAGACUAACGACUUUUCUAUUUUUCUUUUCGGCCUGACUGGAUAGUUGGACAUGGACAAUACAGAAUCCACAGAAGGAUUGUUGGGACCGCUGAAAAUUAGCUAGAAGAAGCUGAGGAAGUAGUCUACGUAGUCAAAUACCAAACACAAAGAAAGAAAGAAAUGGAUAUCAUGGAUGCCUAGAGUUAUACUCCUAAUACCGUCACAGGUAUUUUUCUUUCCUCCUUUUUUUUUCUACGAUAAUUAGAGCAUUUCUCCUCCUCCUCCUCCUCCUCCCCCCACCCCACCACCAAAAAAUAAAAAAAUAAAUUAUUGCAAGUAACACUUCAAAUAUUAAUUUAUACAUUCUAAAGUAUAUAUUCAUGAAAUAACUUGAGUAUCAUACAUUAGUUCUCAAAAAAAAAAAAAAAAAAAAAAAAAAAUUACUGGAAGAGAAAAGUUUAAGAAAACAUAAAAAUAUUCAACUACUAUUUUAAAGAGAAAAUUUAAUUUUUACACUAUAAAUUUGAAGAGAACUUUUACAUGCAUCUUAUAUAAACUACCAUUUUUUGCUAAAAGGCUUAAAUUUGUCAAAAAUACCCCUUAGGUGCUUAACGUUCUGGUCAUAAUAUAAUUGGCAUCUUUUCUCAAACAUAAGGCCUGUGUGUGGGAACAAGAUUUAAUGUUAAUGAGCUUCGCCACCGACAUUUAGUUCCAGAAAUCAUUAUUUUAAUAGAGUGGGCUCAAUUUACAACUUUAAUUAAACUCUAACCAACUGCAUUGUGAAAUGAAUAUGUUUCUUUCGUGGUGAAUCCAAUGAGUUGGGAGUCAAACUUUGCUUCAUUGUGUAUAGAUGAAAUGUUAAGACUCCAUGUAACCUCAAACAUUUCCGCAAUNNNNNNNNNNNNNNNNNNNNNNNNNNNNNNNNNNNNNNNNNNNNNNNNNNNNNNNNNNNNNNNNNNNNNNNNNNNNNNNNNNNNNNNNNNNNNNNNNNNNUUCUUUCGUGGUGAAUCCAAUGAGUUGGAGUCAAACUUGCUUCAUUGUGUAUAGAUGAAAUGUUAAGACUCCAUGUAACUCAAACAUUUCCGCAAUGAGCGGGAGUUCUAAAUUUAAUAAUUGAAAUUGUCAGUGGAACCAGUGGACAAGAGUUGGUUUGUGGUUGACAAACUUAUCCGUUUGAUCUUUACUUGAACAGUUCCAGUGUGUGGAUGGGUACUGAUGAAGUGUGCGCAUUUAUUUUGAGAAGCCUGCUUGUUCGCAUAGAUUUUAACGACAUGAACAUUGUGGUAAGGUUAGAGAGUAAUGCGAAUGUAGGAGCUUAUAUUAGAAAUGACACAAACACGUAAAUAGAAGUAAUCUAUAUAUGAUAUUACUCAUGGACUACAAGCAAAGAAGUACAAUACAUGGAGUAAGUGAUGAAAUGAGCAUUCCUCACUACUACUGCUUGACUGAUGGAACAUGAUGCACGAGAUAGCAUAAGUAGUAGUAGGAAGCAGCUCUUAUUUGUGGCGUCGGUAUACAUCAUACUAGGUAGAUGGUUCAAUUGGCAUGGAUGGGUGGUGGAGCCUUGAAGUGCUUGUGAUGGGGAGCCCACGGCUUCUUCUCAGGAGUUGGUGGCUUCUUGUAUGGAGUUGAUGGAGGUGUUUCUACUGGAGGGUGGCCAGGGUAGUGACCCUGGGGUGGUGAAGGUUCUUUUGUCGGUGGUGGCCUCACUAUUAUUGGCGGUAGAGUUGGUGGCUUGGGCGUUGGCGGUGGUCUCACUACUCUUGGGGGUAGAGUUGGUGUCUUGUGUUUUGGUGGUGGAGGUGGCUUAACAGGAGUUGGUGGCUUGUAUUCUGGGGGUGGUUUCUCCACCGGAGGUGGCUUAUAAACUGGAGUUGGUGGCUUGUAUUCUGGGGGUGGCUUCUCCACUGGUGGUGGCCUGUAAACAGGGGUUGGUGGCUUAUAUUCUGGGGGAGGCUUCUCCACUGGAGGCGACUUAUAAACAGGGGUUGGUGGCUUGUAUUCCGGGGGUGGCUUCUCUACGGGAGGUGGCCUGUAAACAGGGGUUGGUGGCUUCUCCACCGGAGGUGGCUUAUAAACGGGGGUUGGUGGCUUGUAUUCUGGGGGUGGUUUCCCCAGUGGUGGAGACUUGUAAACAGGAAGAGGUGGUUUGUGCUCAUAUGGGGGUGGCUUGUGGUCAUUAGCAAGUGAGGGAGUGGUGAGGACCACCAAUCCAAGGAACAACACGAGUGAGCAAGCAGAAGACAUGUUUGGGCUCUGGUGAUGCACAAGUAGAAGAAAUGGGAACCAUUUAUAAUGCUUCGAGACCUUGGUUAGCACCAAAAUAUGUCAAAAUCUUGAUUACUUCAUUUCAUACAUAGAUUUAAAAUUAUUUCAAUCAACCAUGAUCCUUAAUUUUCUGGGUGGUCCAUAAAUGUAAUGGGGUCAAUUUGGGACCUAACAAGCUGAGAAGUUUGACAAUGCUGCAAGGCUUCAUCCGAAAGUCCGGGGAAGAAUAUUAGGAGUUACACUCCGUUUCCUUUUUUGGGUGCAUUUUUCUCCUUUAACAUUCUAUUCCCUUUUACAUUAGCAUUUGAUCUUAGCUCAUUUCAAGUACAAGUUUCUUGAACCCUAUACCAUUGUCAAAGUUGAGUAACCAUCUCUACUUUGCUCAAGAAACAUAAAAGACAAUGACAAUAAAGAAAAAGGAGAGAGACCAUACGUGACUUGGUUUAUAGGUGGCUUUGUGUUGACAUUUGAGUAUGGAAGCCGACAUGCAUCUUAGCUUCGAUUUUAAUUAAAUUUGUACAUUAGUGUCUGUGUCAUUCAUUUUGGUAUAAAAGGUCUCUUGAUUUCGUAAGUUUGGUAAGAACCGUUGAAAAUAGCAGUAGCAGCACAUGGUCCACUUUCUUUCACAAAAUAAUUUUAAAAGUUUAGAAGCAUAGGAGGUAACAUUAGUGGCCUUGUGGCUCAGCCACGAGUACUAUGUGGUGCUCGAGAAAUUGAGUUUAAUUUCCUUCCGAUAGUUCAUGAUAAGGUCCGUCACUGUCCUGAGACAGAUUGCGUUUUUUCUUUUUUCCUUUUUUAGUGUUUUAUUGACUAGCUAGGUGUGACUUUUCCUACUUUAAGGCACGAGGCAGAAAAGAAACUGGGAUUUAGUGCUUAAGAAGGCAAAUUUAAUUCGAUUUGGAUCUAAAAUUUGCCAGCAACAUGAGAUUUUCCAGCCUAUCGUUGCUCCACAUAUAGACAAGGCACUUGUAGAAGUGGCUUGUUUGUAGCCAUUCCCGAUAUUUGGACUCACUUGAUUCACCGGACACUUUGAUAAAAUUUAAUAUUUAUUAUUUAAUAAUUUAAAUUGAUUUAAAAUUAAAUUAUACCGAAGUUGUGAUUUAAAAAUUAUUAUUUAAUUCUUACUUUUAAAUAUGAAGAUUAUUUGAUAAAAAUAAUUUAAAAUUUAUUAUAAAUUAUCAAAUUAACAUAUUUAUCCUUAUAAAUUAUAAUUAAAACAGAAAAGGUCAAAUGAUUUGAGUAUCCAUAGAUGUGGUAAAAUAAUAAAAAAGAUUAUAAAAACAAUUAUGAUAAAUAAAGAUAAAAAGUAAAAUGAAUAUGUGAAUUUAAAGAAUAAAUUAAUUAUUUUUAUUUAUUACUUAAAAUUAUUUUUGACUUUAAAUUAUAUUAUUAAAUUAUUUUACCAAACAUACUUAAUUUAGUUAAUAAUUUAAAUUUAAUUUAAGUUAUUAAAUUGAUUCACCAAAUACCCACUUAAUCAAAGACUGAAGUAUACAUUAUUUGGCCAAAUGCAGCUAUUGAAAUUUAACUUUUUCCAAACUUAUUCAUUUUGUGGAAAUAUUUUUAGAAAUGAUUUUAAAAAUGCACUAUUCUGUGUGUUGAUUUUAUAUUUUGGCAUUAAUCCAACAUAGAAAACGGUUCUUAUUUUCGCUGUUAAAUAGGUACCAGAUCCUUAAUUAGUGCCGUGAAUCCGGCAGCUUCCAAUGAGUAAUUUGGACUUGGGUAUUGACAAUGUGUGGCCAUGCUUCUACUAUUUUAUUAUUCUUGAAACAUAUAUGAUAUAUUGGACUUUAUACAGGGAAAAAAAAAAAAAAAAGUCUUCACCAAAAAUGAUUCCUCCUAAAAAAUAGACUCCACAAACUAGGUUUAACAGGAAAAUGAUUCUAAUCUAGUAGUUUCCAGCCACAUGAGCAUUUACGUAACAAUAGUAUAGUUGAUAACGACUUUUAUUUUAUUUAUUUUUAAAUAGUUAAAGGGAUAAUUUUUGAGCUUAAAUUUUAUUUUUUUAUUUAGAAACAUUUUACUUUAUUUUUUAAUCAUAAUUCUAUUAUAUUAAUGUUUUAUUUUCUAUUUUUUAAUAUAUAAGGAGAUACUAAAUUUAUGUGAUUAUUUUUUAAAAAUUUAGUAUAUGAAAUUAAAUAAUUGGAUAUAUAUACAUAUAUCAUAUAAUGUUUUUUAAGUGUGAUUUUUGAACUUUUUAGUCAUUUUAUAAGUUUAAGCUUUUGAUUUUUUUUUUUAAACUUUGGUAUUUUUUAUUUUAUAUAAAACUAUUUUGAUUUAAUUUUAUUAAAAAAUAUUGGUAUUAUAAAUUAUUGUAUUAAUUAUUUUUUUAUAUUAUAAUGUAACUGGUAUAUACUAAAAAAUGUAUGCAAGUUCAAUUUAAGUUUCAAAUUAAAAAAUUUCAUUUAAAUAUUUAAUAACUUGUUCAUAAUAAAAAAUUAAACAACAUAAUACAAAUGAAAAGAAACAUAAAAGAAAAAGGAAAAAAUGGUCCUCUCUGUGUGUCACAUUACUAGGUCAUCCUCUUUUUCUAUGACCCUUACAAUAGAAUGGCAUAUUUGUCAAAUCUACUUAUGAAAGUUGGAAUGUUUCUACAUGUGUAGGGUCCAUUGGAACUAAUGGAGGAAAGGCUUAACGUCUAUGUAAAUCACAACGUUGCCUAGGUGGGCAUAGAUCUAGUUGUGUAACAUGAGAUGGUGUGAGAGUACAAUAUAUGCAUUGUAGUCUCUAUGGGAAGAGAGAUAGGUAAUGGUAGGGUGGUAGACGGUAGGGUGAUCUCUAAUAUAAUGACAUUUGAUGUGGUGGCUUCUAAGAGAGGAGAUAUAAGAGAUGGUAGAAUGACAUUUGGUGUAAUGGUCUCUAGUGCAAUGACAUGUGAUAUGGUGACCUAUAAAGAAGAGAUAUAGGUGAUGGUGAAGUGGUAUGUGGUGUAGUGACCUUUGAGAUAGAAAAUAGAGGUAAUGGUAGGUUGGCAGGUGGAGUGGUCUUUGGUGUAGUGACAUCAAUUAUAAAUGUCUCCAAGGGAGGAAAUAAAGGUGAUGGUAGGUAGUAAAUGUUGAGGUGGUCUUUGAUAUGUUAUGCUCUAAGAGAGAAGGUAUAGGUAAUGAUAAUAGGGAAUUUGACAUAGUGGUGUUGGAAAUAAAAAGUGAAAGUGACCGUAGAGGUGAAAGGGCAAGUGUAAAAGCCUCAAGUACGAAUGGAGUAAUUAAUGUGGAUGGUGCUAACAUAGUCUUAGGUGGAUACACAAAUAGUCAUAGUCAUCAACUAGCUUGCCCACCAUCUGUCUUUCUGCUAGUGAUAGGUUACAUCUUAAUAGUAAUGGCCAACAUAAGUGGUGUGGAUCCGAUUUUUUUACGUGUGUCCCCACUCAAUCGACAAGACUUAUUUUUUAUUAGUGAAAAAUUAAUUUUGGAAAAGUUGGAGUCACCACUUAUUUUAUUUUAUUUUAAAAAGGAAAGUAAAACAAGAAAGAGAACUCUAAAGAAGUGACUUCAUAGUUUUGGAAAAGUUAGUCUUAAAAAAUCCAAGUCUUGGUCCGGAGAUCAGGUUACUUAUUGGGAAGAUACCUCUAAGAGGUAAUACCCCUCUAAACCCUAAAGAAGUCUCUAAUGACUAAGUUGAGGAGAAUGUGGUAAUUAAUUAAUUGAUUGAGGGUACCUAGGUAGACUAAGGUGAUUUCAGAAUUAACAUACCAAGCUAGAAAGUCCAAUCAUGAUCAUAAAAGAGAGUCAAAGUAUGUACCUGAACUGCUUCUCAAACGCUAUCAUAAAACAUCAAAGUUAGUAUAGAAAUAUAACACAUAAUAUUUGUUUUAUCCAAGCAAAUAAAGCAUACAUCUAAGCACCCAAGAAUCACAUCAAGUAUGGAUAUAGUCAUCAAUAGCAUACGUGUCCAUAGAACUAUCGAAAGUAAAUGUGGAGGAGCGUAUCUGGACAACAUAGAUAACUUAUAAUGUGCUUCCACAAGACAUGGGGGUUAGAUAAAAGUUAUAAUAAUAAUUAGUAAAUGAAAGAAUUCUAGCAUGUUUGGUAUCUAAAUAACAUAGCAAAAAUGAACAAGAGUACACGAAAACAUCAAUUAUCACACGAGUCAUAUUGGCUAGUAUUUAAUCAAUAAACCAACAAUAAAUGACUAUAAACAUAUAAAAUGACAUAUUCAAAGAGACCCAAACAUAAAGAGCCUAGAACACAAGCUUACACUAAAUUUAGAAAACUAAAACAUGGAAUUUUAAAAGCAUAAAUUAGCAAACAAAUUGAUGGAAACUAAAUUUAGAUAACUUAAGAAUAUUUUUCUUAUCCUUCAAUUUAAAUCAGUAAGCCAACAAUAAAAAAUUAUAGAAACAUGGAAUAUCAAGAUCAAUGGGAUACCUAAACUAUAAUUUUUAAAAGAAAAUAAACUAAGCAUAAUAUCUACAAAGCAACUAAACUAACAUUUUUUUAAAAAUAAAUUAAACAUGACAUUAAUGGAGUAACCAAACUAAAUUAAAGUAAACUAAAAACAUUUAUGAAUUUUCAAACAUGGAAUCAGCUUUCUUAGUAAAUUAAAAUUAUUAAAAUAAAAUCUAAGCUUAAAAAUGAAUUAAAUACUAACUAAAGCAAAUCUAAAACCAAAUAUUUAACACAUAGGAUCAAUUAUAUUAACAAACUAAAAUUUUAUAAGAACACUUAAACCUAAAGUUGAAUUAAAAACUAACCAAUUUUUAAAACUAGAUCUUUAACCCAUAGGAUCAAUUAUAUUAACAAAUAAAUAAUAAAUAAUAAAUAAAUAAAACUCAAACCUAAAGAUGAACUAGAAAUGUACCAAAGUAAAUUCAAAACAAGAUCUUUAACACAUUAGAUCAAUUAUAUUGACUAACUAAAAAAAAAAAAAAAAAACACUCAAACCUGAAACGAUGUAUUAGAAACUAACCAAAGCAAAUUUAAAAUAGAGUCUUUAACACAUAGGAUCAAUUAUAAUCACUAACUUAAAUUACAAUUUUUGAAACAUGAACUAAUUAGUGUUGGAUUAAUUAAACUAAUUAACUAAAAAAAACUAUAAACUAGAAUACGGUGAAUCAAGAAUUCAAAUCAACAAACAUAAAAUAUGGGUACAAUGAAAUGAAAAUCUAUUAAACUAAUAAGACGGAAAUAUGACAAACUCAUGAACCCACAUUUUGAUCAACUAGGAAAUAGAAAUUAAUAGACCUGUAGCAUGGAUACAAUGAAAUGAGAUCAGUUAAAUUUAUUUGCCGAAAUUCUAAAAAACACAUACACUCAAAUAAGAUCUAAAUCUAAGACCAAGCAAAACUCAAACUUUCUCAAUCUAAUGCAAUGAAUCAAAACUAAAAUUAAAUAGAAAUCAAACCAUUUUUUUUUUAUCUAAUAUAAUAAAUCAAAGCUAAAACUAAACAAAAUCGAAUUUUCUUAAUUUAAUAUGAUGAGUCAAAGCUAAAAUUGAACAAAGUUCAAACCUUUAUAUAAUGGAUCAAAGUUAAAUCUAAAUGAAAUCCAUACUUCCACAAUUUGAUAUAACAAAUCAAAAAUAAAACUAGAUAAAAAAAAAGUCAAAGCCUUUCAACUUGACAUAGUGAAUCCAAACUGAAACGAAACAAAAUUUUAACUUUUCCAAUGAAACCCAAUAUAGAAAAAAUUAGCUUACCUUCUUUAGAAUAUAUGUAUGGGCCAUAAAGAAGUCACCUUGGUGCAUGUGUUCCUCACUUUGACGCCAAUGGACGACUUUCUAUGGUAGCAAAUGGAGAUCCUUUUUGGUGGUAACUUGCGUGUGGAAACCUAUGGUACAACCAAUGUCAUCUUUUAUUGUGCGUGUGGACCAAUUUCUUCUCGAGAACUCAUGUGUGUUGUGCUCAAAAUAUGUUGCCUGUGAGAAUCUAUUGGUAUACCCCACAUAUGGUUUCCUUGAGAGAAUCUGUGGUUGUGUGUGGGCGUUUUCUUCAUGACAGCAUGUGGAUGUUCCCAUCUAUGGUAGAUUGGUUGUGAUGCUUUAGUGCAUGGUCUCCAUAGGAAUAGUGUGUUAUGGAAAUUUGGUUUUUUUAUUGGUGCAUGUUGUCUAGACUUUCCCAUAUGCGUGGACUGUGUGUUCAUGCUUUUCUUUUCGGAUGGUCGCCUGUGUUAAUGUGUGGCGGUGUCUACAAUGAAAGAUACAACCCUUUCUCUCCUUCUGCGUGAUAGAAAAGUCAAUCCCCCAUGGUGCGACUAUGUUCCCUCGUCCUUUUUGAAAAAUUUUGGUGUUUUCCCCCCAAAAAAUCCCCUCCAAAAAUCUAAUUAUAAAUGUCUGCUUUGGCCUAAUGUGUGUGCUACUUUUUUUUUCCUUCUUUUUAUGGUUGUGCGUGCUUUUCUUGAUACGUGGCUUAUUUCUUAAGGAUAUGAUUCGCUCCCAAUUGGUGUCUCAGCUGAUUCAUGUCCUUUCAAUGGUCCCUGACAGUGGUGCCAUUUGAUUCGUGUCCAGCUGGUGUCCCUUGAUUGUGGUCCUCAGAAGGGAGUAAUCAAUAAAAUUUAUAACCUAUUACACCAUGUAUUAGGAUAGCCUUAGCUAGCAUAGCAUAGUGGCUCUAGGGUCGUUUAUUGGGAUGAGUUUUCACUUCACAAUUGAUAUUAAUUCAAGAGCUGAAUUGGUGCCUUUUCAUUUCAAGGUUAGCUUUAAAAGAAAACAUAAUCUUUGGUGGAAAAAGGUUUGGUUUUAAACUAACCAAAAAUAGUAACUGAUUUUACUUACAAAGAAAAGUGUUCUUUGGAGUUUAGAUCACUAGGCUCAGGUUCCUCAUACAAAAAGGAGAGUUCCGAUCAUUUGUUUCUUUUCCUCGCAUUAGAGAAUUAACAUAUAGUUAAUUCUCUAACCGGUGCGGUACAUAUGCUUCCCAUUAAUGGGUUCAAACACUAAAUACCUCUCACUGAUGCACCUUGCAAUGGCUCGUGCCUCUCACCUAGCAUUUAUCAUUCAAGGUGAUCUUUAACCUUGGAUUACCCAUCAAAAGCUCGCAAGAGAUAACUAAAGGAUGUCUCCUUAGAGUCCAAAAGCUUACCAAGUGUUGGUUAUUCUAGAAAAUCCUACCUUCAAACCACCUCCCAAAGGCUCGCAAGAGAUAAACAAGUGCAUCUCAAUGGAUGAAGAUCACUUGCCUUACCAAGUUUUGGCCCAGAUGAUUUAAUGACAUUUUAAGUUAACUAAAAAGAUAAAAACCAUUAACGGGUCACACUUUCUCUUCAUUAAAAACUAAAACAACAAAACUUCCAAUUUAUGCAUGAGGAAACUUACCUGGCUUUCUUCACUUCAAGAGAUGAAGAGCCUAGCCACUCAUCAUUUGAGGAAAAAUCCUCAGAGUUUGAUUUGCUAGAAAUAAAAAUAAUGAGAAAACAAAAAUAUAUAUAUGAAAAACAGAGCAAGUUCUCUGUAAUAUAUUUUUCUUCCUUAUACAAAAGGUUGUCUCUAAGAACAAGUUCCCGAGAUCUAUCUGAUUGUAAAUAAAAUUACAACUAUAUAUAAGAGGUUAUUCACCCCUUUGUUCUUUCUUAAAGACUAAGGAAUCCUAUGAUAGGUGGGUUACAAGGAGAGUUUGGGGAUUUAGACAUCAAAUAUCUAAAGCAAAAUAUCUCAAGAUGUUAGUCGGAAAUAUCAGGAAGCUUCAGGAGAACACCGCGACACUGUAUACUGAGAGAAAAACUCUCCGGGUAAGCUCUAUCAAAGGAUCCAGACAUGUCUGACUGGGAAAGUUGAAACGUCCUUCUCUCCCAUCCGGAUGUGAGAUAUCCGGAGAAAGUGAAAUGUCGGUCGGACAGAAUUCUUUCCCCGGGUGGAAUGAGUUGUGUUGCGCGUCGCAAGGGGGACCGUCUGCGUGUACAAGUUGUAGGGACCCCUCUCCCGGAUGACACCGAGCGCGUAAGGCUAUCCGGAUCAACUCCAUUCGGAUUCCCCAAGAGGACAUGUGGCGUGCUCCCCUAUCAGGACUCCCUUAGGGAGAAGCACACGACACUCGUGAACAUCAUACCCGGACGAUAGCAUGUCCUAUCCGGAUGUGUUGUCCGGAUCAUUGACUAAAGUGAGCAAGCCUUGCUACGUCAUUCGGACAGCUUGCCACAUACCAUGUUCCGUCGCCAUCUGAUGGUGUGUCCGAACGCCUUGUCCGGACAUCUUUUGCUCCUUGCAUUCCGGAUUUGCUUAUGACAAAGGACUUCAAAGCUUCGGUUCUUCAUGUUUCUGAGCUUUCCAUUGCUUUGCCAUGGAUUCCAAAGAACUCUCCUUAAUCACGGAUUGCUUUGGUGAUCAAAAAGUUAUCAAAACACAAAAACUUAACAUAGUUUGAUUAGAAUUGAUUGCAAGGGUUCUUAAUAUGUUAAUUGGGUUAAAAGGUGAUAACUACUACUCAAAAGUGUUUAUAAGAAUUAAUUACAAGCUAUGAAAUAACACUUUUUGAGUAGUAAUCAGGAUACAUCCUAGUUUUUCAUGGAAUUGAUAGUGGGUUGUUGUGCAUGAAUGCCACCAUUUCAACUAUGCUGUUGUUAUUUUUAAAAAAAAUAUGGAUUAUGCGCGAGUGGCAAUUCUCCACUAUGGAAAGUGGAUUGCUCCUUCAACCCAUGCAUGGCUACGUAUUCCUAUGUCUUUCUACUUGUGUUUGAUCCUCCAAAAAAAAUUUCGGUUUAGUGCUAGUAGAUUUUAAGUGGUGGAUCCCCAUUUUUUGAAAAUGAAGUGGCAGCCUCCCAUUUCAAGACAAAAUGGUAGCCUGCCUUUAAUCUUUGGAGAAAAAUCUGUGCAUGACCUUUUUUUUUCCCAAAAAAUCCGUGCAUGGUGUCCUUUAAUAUUUGGAGAAAAAUCUAUGUUGGAUCUUUUCUUUUCUAGAAACAUUUGUGUGGUCUUUUUUGUUAGCCCAAGGGUUCUUCUAAUCAAGUUUUGAUGAUAACAAACCAUGGUUAAGUGACUAAUUGGUUUAAUGAUUAAGAAUCUCAAACAUAAAAUCGAAAAUUCAUCAAAGGACCAAAUGGAUACAAGAUCGAGACGCUUGGAAGACUUGUAAUCAUAGGAAACUAAUGUAAGAUGAAUGCAUGAGUGCACUUAGGAUUUUCACACGUUUCAUGCAACUUAGAAAACCCAGUUUAUUCUUUAAAACUUCAUCCCAGUUUAUUCUUUUUAUGGUUGUGUGUGCUUUCCUUGAUACGUGGCUUAUUUAUUAAGGAUACAUCCCAGUUUUUCAUGGAAUUGACAGUGGGUUGUUGUGUGUGAAUGCCACCAUUUCAACUGUGCUGUUGUUAUUUAAAAAAAAAAAAAAUGGAUUGUGCGCGAGUGGCAAUUCUCCACUAUGGAAAGUGGAUUGCUCCUUCAACCCAUGCAUGGCUACGUAUUCCUAUGUCUUUCUGCUUGUGUGUGAUCCUCCAAAAAAAAUUUUGGUUUAGUGCUAGUAGAUUUUAAGUGGUGGAUCCCCUUUUUUUGAAAACUAAGUGGCAGCCUCCCAUUUCAAAACGAAGUGGUAGCCUGCCUUUAGUCUUUGGAGAAAAAUCUGUGCAUGACUUUUUUUUUCCCAAAAAAUCCAUGCAUGGUGUCCUUUAAUAUUUGGAGAAAAAUCUAUGUGGGAUCUUUUAUUUUCUAGAAAAAUUUGUGUGGUCUUUUUUGUUAGCCCAAGGGUUCUCCUAAUCAGGUUUUGAUGAUAACAAAUCAUGGUUAAGUGACUAAUUGGUUUAAUGAUUAAGAAUCUCAAACAUAAACUCGAAAAUUCAUCAAAUGACCAAAUGGAUACAAGAUCGAGACGCUUGGAAGACUUGUGAUCAUAGGAAACUAAUGUAAGAUGAAUGCAUGAGUGCACUUAGGAUUUUCACACGUUUCAUGCAAUUUAGAAAACCCAGUUUAUUCUUUAAAACUUCAAUUUCAUUAAAACCCGAGUUUUUAACUAAUGUACCUUAGGCAAAAUGUUUUAUAAUUGGCUUAAUAAUUCACCUAAAUACAUUUUCUAAGUGUUAGAAAAGAAAGGAAUUAAAAAAAGGUUUUCGGGGCAAAAAAGGCUCAACCGGUCGAGGCUAUGGUCAACCGGCUCAACCGGUUGAGGAACCAAUCGAUCGGUUGUGCUUGUCCGAUCGAAGACCAAUCGAGGGAUGCCAAAAAAUUUCUCUCUCUCCUAGUGGCCUUCUCUUCCCGGUCGAGGUUCGGUCUAGGCAACGGUAACAUGUCAAGCAUUAAAUGCUCCGACGACUAGUGAAUCGGUCGACCCCUAGCCCGAUCGGACGAGGUUGCCUUUUGCUGUUUUUGACUCCCGAGCUUAGAAACCUAUAAAUUGAGAGCUCCACUUCAUUUAUUGAUAAAAGAGAACACUUGCAUUCAAUAGUCUACCUACCUUUUCUUGAUCAAAAAGCUCUCAUUUCCUUCAUAGUGCAUUAAAUCAUCACUUGCAUAUCCUUUAGUGCACUAUUGUGUGUCAUCCUAGCUUUGUUUUGUAUUUGAGCUAUCCUUAAGCUAGGUUGAGGGAUUAUUUCUUAUAAAAAUCUGAGUGUUAAAGCCUUCAAGAGAUUUGAAUCUUGAAGAGAUUGUGUAAGAGCCCAUUGGAGCCGGAGUCCAAGUGUAAGAAGAUUGGAAGCUUGGUUGAAGCUUCAAGUUAGUGGAACCCUCACUCGGUUAGGAGGUUGAGGAGAGUGGACGUAGGUAAGGAAGUGUCGAACCAUUAUAAACCCGAGUUUGAAUUCUCUAACUCUAUCUCUUUAUUUUGCUUAUAUUGUGUUUGAAUUUGUUGUGAUUGAAAAGAUUUUAAAAACCUAAUUCACCCUCCCCCCUUUUGGGUUUUUUUUUCUUAAUUAAGCAUAACCUUUGUUUUCUAAUUUUCUUUUUAGGAAAAUCCAUGCGUGGUAUGUCCAAACUCUCCAAGUGGCAGUCUGCCUUCUUCUAAAAAAUUUGUUUCUAUUUCUUUAUUCGACUACCUUCCAUGUCUUCCUAAUGAGUGCUUGUGCUCAAUGGUCAAUCCCUGGUGGUUGCCUCCUUUUCCCAUAUAUACGUGUUGCAAAAUCAACAUCCCACUAUAUGUGGGUUGCCUCUAUGGCAAGUUCACAUUUCCCACAUGAAACCUAUGAGUUUCCACCAAAAAUUGCCAUGAAAAAGUCUUUAUAUGCAUCUCAUGCAAUAAAAAGUCAAGCCAAUACUCAUCUUAUCUCGAAAAAUAAGUAACCAAAAUCAAGAUCAUGCCUAAGUGAACUAUGCCAAAAGAAGUGUCCAAGUGACCUAUUAUGAAAAAAGUGCCUAAGUGACCUAAGGUGAAUGUGUGUAAGCUGGAAGGUGUCUAGGAUGUUUAGGACAAUGCCUAAGCCUAAAAUAGGGUUGCCAAGGGUCACAAUGGGGUUAGAUAAAUCUCUCAAUCAGAGUCUCCAAGGUGGCUCAUAAAAGAUAAGCUACACGAGUAAUGAUGGGCCACCAGGGAAUUAUUGUAAAGCACCAAACGAACACAUAAUAGGACAUGUGUUAGAAUGAAAAAAUGGAGGGUUUACAAGUGGUCUCAUGGAUGAGCUUGAUAAUUUAAAUGACUCACAUAAUGAACGUAUGUGAUGUUUCUCUCCAAUAACAAGCAAAACAUCACUAGCAAUAUGAUGAAUGUCUCCUAAAUCACUUGAAGUAGUCCUAGCAAAUCAAUUAGAAAAAUCACACAUAUUGCUCUAAUGUAAUAUUAUAUACAUCUGUCAAUGAAUGGGAGAACUAAUGACACAACCAUCAUGUUGAUAUCUCGAACCCUCUAAUCUCAUAUGUAGGUGGGAUCACACUUAGAAACUCAUAACACAGUAAUGACCAAUCUAAGUCAAAAUGUGUUGGUGAUCGGAGGCCCAUGAAUAUGAAGUUCUAGGAUGAUAAUGACAUCUUAUAAAGUAAUGAUCAUCUCCUUAAUAGAUAGGUGAAAUGUGUGUGUCUUAGGACACCAUCUCUCAACAAGACUUGUGAUCAAUCCCCAGUCUAGUGUAACAUGCCUAUUAUGACAUCCAUCGUAAAAUCUAGACUAGAUAAUAUAAGGACAAAUGUGAGGGUUCAUCUCCCUUUCCCACAUAAAUUUAAAAAAUUAUUAUUGACAAGUUAAGACCAAACUAAGUUGCAAAAUAUAAAUAAGUCCAUUAGAUAACAAAUUUAUGUUUUCUCAUUUUCUCAUUUUUAAAGAGAUAUUAUGUGCUUCCAUGUACAUACAUGCUAAAGUCAAUUAUACGAGACUUAUAUCCAUCUUGUAGAACCAAAUCGAACCUAUCUAAUAGAUCCAGAUUAGAAGUAUGUCCUCUAUACUCCAUAUUUAUAACACAUUUAUAAAGAUAAAUGCUAAAAAAAUGUUAAAGAUAUAAAUUUAAUGAACCAUACUUUAUGAUUUUAAUUCUCAAUUAUUGUUCAUAUUUAUAAGAGAAAAGUUAAAAAAAUUGAUAGAGUUUUCCCUCUAUCAUGGACAUUAUCCCAAAUAAAAAUAAAUUGAUUAUGCAAAUUACAUUAAUAUUUGUAACCAAAUGAUCAAUAACUAUCUUGUAUCAAUUUAGUAAAUAAAUUUAAGUAUAUCUUUUCAUUUAUGACUAACAAAUAACUCAUACUUGUCCAAUAAAAGCCACACCUAAUUUCUAAAAUUUUGUCUUCACCUCAAGUGAGUGUUACAUUGAGAAAGAAAAAAUAUGAAAGAAAAAAUGAACACCUUUUUCUUUUAAUAAAAAAAGGCCAUAACGAAACAUUAAAUCUCACUGUUACACCUAUCUUCAAUGGAAACAUGAGGAUGUGAAUGGUGGCGGUGAUAUUCUUUGCUUGAAGCUCAUAAACAAAUAUUCCUUACUAAGCCUAUGCCAUUUAGUAUUUCAAUAGUGGACCCCCCCCCCCCCCCCCCCCCCCUCCUUGCAUUUCAGAUUUAGCAAACUUAGAACCAAAUAACAAAGUGCAUUUGAACCCAUAAAGAAGUAAUGAGACUCUCCUAUAUUGGCAAUAGAAGAAAUUUUUGGAGGUAUAGGAGAUUCACGGAUGAAGAAGUUGGGCCCCAAUUGAGAUAAGACCCAAGAAAAGAUGGGGUAGAGAGGGAUGGUUGGAAAUUGUAAAGUAAGAUUUUCAAAAUGUAGUUGAUGACUAAGAUUUUGACAAUUUAAAAAAGGUUUAAAAAUGUAGUUAGCAAUCGGGGUUUUGUAACAUUUAAAAAAUAAAAUAAAAUCUCAGGCCACAUGGUAGCCCAUGUGAUUCAGAAGCUUGAGAAUUAUUUUAUAAGAAGACUUAAUUUGUGAUUUUUUUAUAACUAUAUUAUUUUUUUUCUUAACACACGAAAAAAAUUAUGAAAUAAGACAAUUUUCCUAAGAAAGCAUGUAAGUGACUCUUGGUUAUUUUAUUUAACUUCUUCUAGUUUGGAGAGGAUUAAUACCUUUGCUUUUACUCACUUGCUUGGAUAUGUACACGUUGUUCAUGUCACUUUUCAUUUAAUUUUCUGAUUAAGGGAAUUGGAACCGUACGUAACUGUCUUUAUUCCCUCUGAAACUUGGACUUGGAGUUGGACUUUCAAUCUCAUCAGUCGUGUUUCCAUAAAAAAGAAGAUGGAUUAACCAAUUUUCCUAUGCCUACUAAUCAUACACAAAACUCCACUUCCAAAUAAAAAGGAAUGGGAUAUCACUUGUUAAUAGUGGCUAAAGACUAUUAAUAACCAUGCAAAGAAAUGUCACAUUUUUUGUUCUACGCAAAUUUUAUUCAUCAACUACUAGAACCAUUUCAUACAAUAGUAGCUUUUCGAUCCUUUGAUAAAUGGACACUUGAUGUGAUAACACCAACUACACCUAUAUAUUCAAGCAAUCAUGCGUAUAUAAUAGUGGAUAUGGAUUACUUCUCUAAAUGGGCAAAAGUUUUGUCAUUCAAGGAAAGUGAACGAGGAAACACAAGUUUACUUUCAUCGGAACUAAUAUUAUAUAUUGAUAUGACUUCCCAUUAUUACUUACGAUGGAAUAUGCUUCCAUAAAAUGGCCUAGAUGAACAAACUAUCCAAGAAGUUUGGGAUCAAAUAAUAUAUAUAUAGUUCAUGUGUGAUUCUUUGGUUGACAACCUUGUUAAGGGGUGAGUGAAGCACUUUGGGCAUACCACAUACUACAUGCUAGACUUCCACCCAAGCUACCCUAUAUUCCUUAUGAACAAAGUAGAAGUUGUCAUCUCUCUUGAAUACCAAAUCCUUUCACCUAAUAAUGCUAUCUAAAAAGGUCUUAAAAAGGAUAAAAAUGCGCAUAUUUGAAUUUUUGAAUUAGGAGUGCUACUUAAAAAGAAGCUAGAUAUACAAUAAUAGAAUGUUAUCAAGCAUAUCUCUUCAAAGUUUUUGACCAAAAAAUAUAUGAUUUCUCAUUUUAGGUAGGAGACUUAGUACUCACUAUUCAAAAACCAAUUAUCAUUACUCAUAAAAACUAAUAGAAAGUUUGGGCCAAAGUAGGAUGGACCUUAUAUUAUGCAACAAUUAUGCCUAUAAAAUUGUUGCAAAAGAGGUUUUAGAAUCAAAUCAAUGAAUGAAAAAUUAUUAAAGCAUUACUAUGCUUGAAGGCUAGUCAUUUUCCCUUAAAGUGCAAUAUUAAGUUGCAUAGUACUAUGUGGAUCCGCAUUUUUCACAUGCGUUCCCACUCAUUGUCGAGACUCACUUUUUAGAAGUGAAAAAUUAGUUUUAUUAAAGUCGAAGUUGCCACUGGGGAUUUGAACCCUAACAAAAGGUUCAAUUUAAGGAUAAAAAUAUCGAUAAUCACAUAUAUAUAUAUUGGUACUUUGAUUUUAUGAAUAUAUUGAAGAAAUAUGGACAAAUAUUUUGACACAAAAUAUGUACAAAAUAAAAAUUAUAUAAAAAGUAAAAAUAAAUAUUUUAAAAUUAUUUUUUUAAAUAUAUAUAUAUAUAAUUUGACAUAUUUGAUAAUAAUAUAUAAGGGUCUCCAAAAAGCCCGUGGCCCGCUUUAGGCCCGGUCCGACCCGACAGGCUAAAGCCCGGCCCAAGCCCGCCGGGCCCAAGCUCGGCCCGAGCCCGUUUAUGGGUGGGCCGGGCCGCGAGCCCGUAGGCCUGCUCCUUUAAAAAAAAACUACAAAAAUAAAAAGUAUUAAAAAAAAUAUUCAUUUCAAAAUUUUAUUCAUUGAAUGUAUAAUUACAUUUGAAAAUGUGGGAAAAGUUUACAUCACUACAAAAUAAAUACAUCCCAACUAGGUUGGCACCUAUUUAUUUGUCAAUCAUCUGUAUUUUUCAACCACAAAAAAUAAAAAUAAAAAUAUAAUAUACAUUUAGUCAUUAUUUUCUGGCGGUGAUGGCGAACUAUCAUGCAUCCAUGAAGAUCUUGAUAAUUUUAAAGAUUCCAUAUCGGUAAGCAUCUUUGUUUCUCGAAUGGAAUCAUACAUCCUUUUAUCUGCUAUUUCCCAAUCUUUCACACAUAUCCCUGCUUUAAUAACAUCUGACGCUAAGUUGCAUCGUUUUUUACUAACUACUCUUCCACCUGCACUAAAAGCAGCUUCUGAUGCAACUGUACUCACAGGAACUGUUAGUACAUCACGAGCAAUUAUAGAAAGCACAGGAUAUUUGUGUUGAUGUGAUUUCCACCAUAUUAAAAUAUUAAAAUCUUCUUGAUCUUCAAAUGAAAUUAUAUCAGUAUUAAGAUAUUUAUCUAAAUCAGAUGUAUUAUUUGGAGAAUUAUUUGUUGUCUUUUUUCGACUUUUCAACAUUUCUAGAGCUCCUUUAUAAAAAGAUGAGGAGUUUGUAGAUGUAGGUGGUAAUUUAAUAGUAUUAAUAUCAUUACCAUAUUUUUCUUUAUAAUAGUUAUAUAAAUUAUAUAAUAAUGAAUUUAUUUCAUUUUUAAUUUCUUCAAUUUUUAUUUGGUCAUUAAAAUAAAUAAUUGUUAACCAUUCAUCCAAAGCUUCAAAUUUCAAUCUAGGGUCCACAAUUAAAGCAAUAUAAAAAAUUAAAGGUAUUUCUCCCCAAUAUUUUCUAAAUUUUUAUAUCAUUACAAAUAUUGUAUCAUUAAAUAUUUCAAAACUUAAAUAUUUUUGAAGUACAAUAAAAAUAUUAGUUAUUUGCGUAAUAACUCGAUUUGAAGUUGGAUAAUAUACACCACAAAAAAUGUUUGUUGAAGUAUCAAAAAUUUCAAAAAGAUCUCUUAAAACAUCCGCAAUAUGCCAAUCAUAAUCAUUUAAUGCAUAAAUAUCUGCUUCAUAAUCAUUGUUAAUUAAUUGUAUUUCAUAUAAUUCGACUACUUUUCUAUAUUUUGUAAUAUUUUCUAAAAGUUUAUAUGUGGAAUUCCAUCUAAUAGCCAUAUCCAAAUUUAUAUUUUUUCUUUUCAUAUUUAACAUUUUGCAACAAUCAAAAAAUAAUUCAUGUUUUGCUUGAAAACUAUUAAUACUAUAUGCAAUGCCUCUAAUUUUUUUCCAAUGUACUAUCAACAUUUUUUAAUCCAUCCUUUACAAUUAAAUUUAAAAUAUGUGCACAACAACGCACAUGAAAUAUUUUAGCAUGAUCUUCUUUUACUUGCCAAUAUCGUUUUAGUCUAUGUAUUGCUGCAUCAUUAUUAGCAGCAUUAUCUAAUGUUAUUGUCAAUAUUUUAUCACGAAUGCCUAAAUCUAUAAUUUCAUCAUUUAUUAAAGAUGCUAUAUUUUUACCACUAUGUGGAGUAUUUAUUAAUUUAAAUAAAAUUAUUCUUUUAUUUAAUUUCCAUUCAUUAUCAAUGUAGUGAACAAUUAUAUAUAAAAAACCAGUAUGAGUUAAAGAUGUCCAAAUGUCAGAUGUUAAACGAAUAUUUCCUUCAAAAUUUGCAAAAUUUUUUUUUAAAAUUUCUUUUUGUGUAUAAAUUUUUUUCAUAAUAUCUCUUUUAACUGUAUUUCCAGAUCAACCUUUAAAUUGAGGAUUAAUACCUCGUUGAAUUGUUCUUGCAAAAUCAUGAGUUUCCAUCAUGUUGAAAGGUUGUUCUGCUCUUAUUAUAUAAUCAAUCAUUUCUUCACAACAGUUAGAUUCAUCAUAAGAAAAUGUUUUUAAAUUUCCACUUUCAUUUUUACUUAAUUGCAUAUAAUUUCUAAUAUCUACAUUAUUUUUAGUUUUACAAUUUUCAUGAUGUCUUUUUAAAUGACUUGUAUCUGCAUUUGAGCCACCAGUAAGAAAUUUAUUACAAAUUUUACAUUUUGCUUUUAUUUUUUUUUUAUUAUUUUCUAAAAUUAUUUCUAUUCUAUCAAAAAAAUUCCAUAUAUUUAAAGUAAAUUUUUUGUUUGAUGAUAUUUCAUCACAUGGACUAGACGAAGAAGCACUUGUCAUAUUAUAAUUAUUGAUAAAAUAUUAUGCCAAAAAUAAUAAAGUAAUAAAUAUAAAAAAAAAUGUAACAAAAAAAAUAAAGUAGUAGGGGUGAAGUAUGUUACUCAAUUAGAGAACCUAUGCAGAAAUUCCUAGCAAAUUUGAACUCUUGGAGCCACCAAUGCUUGUUUUGCACCAUCAACAAUAUUGUAUAAUUUGAGGGAAAAAUAAAAGAAUUUAAAAUAUUGUAGAAUGUGAGAGAAAUAGAGAGAAUUUGAUGAAAAAAUGAAAAGGAAGAAAAUGUAUUUAUAGGAAGGUUAAAAAUAAUAAUAAUAAUAAUAAUAAUAAUAAUAAUAAUAAUAAUAAUAAUAAUAAUAAUAAUAAUUGGCCAUGUGACCGUUGGAGGCUUAGCUCCAACGGUCACAUGGGCUGGAGCUAGGCUCCAACAGUCACAUGACCGUUGGAGCCUUUAAUUUUUUUUUUUAAAAUAAUAUACUUUAUUUUUAUAUAUAUAUAACUAACUCAAUUAAUAAACAUAAAAAGAAUAUAGUUCAGUUGGUUAGAACCUUGAAGUUUAAACAUGAGGGGAGGGGUUUGAAUCCCUCCCUCUCCCUUAGGGGCUUUUUUAAAAGCCAUUUUGGCUUAUUUCAAAAAGCCUGUCGGCCCGACCCGCCCUGCAGCCCGCGGGCCUAGCAUUUUAGCAUGGCCUGGUCUGUUGACUAGUCAAAUGGCUCAUAGGCUCGGCCCGAACUGGGCCGCGGGCCUCUUAUUUACGGACCGGCCCGACCCGGCCCGCCCGUUGGAGACCCUUGAUAAUAUCUUCUAUAUUAAGUUACAUUAUAGUUUAUUUUACAAUAUUAUUAUGAUAAUAUGUCUAAUUUUAAAAUAUAUUUAAUAUUAAAAUUAUGAUCUAUUUUAAUUUAAAUGUAUUCAAUGAUAUCAAAUAAAUAAUAAUAUAUGUAUAAUUCUUUUAUUAUUUAUAUUUAUUAUUUUUAAUAAAUAUAUAGAUUAUAUAAAAAAGACCGGAUAUAUCUUUUCAAAUUUUGUAUCGCUCUCCAAGGAUAUUAGAUGUAUGGGAAUUUGUAUUGCUAUCUACGGAUACGUUGAUAUAUGGGUGAUUUAUCAGGAUAAUUAGAAAUUCUAAUUAUGUAAGCAGGUACGGAGUUCUGUGUCGGUGCGAUCUUGUCGACAACAGCUCCAAAUUGUGCAUCUUGCUCAUAGAGAGUAGCGGAAUGCACCAAUCGUAGGCUCAGAGUACCACUGAGUCGUCUGGCAGAGACCCAACUGAAGGUGCCUGUGUUGUUCCUGAUCUGAUCAGGCUUCAAACUACAAGGUGGAAUACUGGUUCCCCUAUAUCAGAAGCUGGAGAUACCCACCCCAUAUGCUCGUCUGGAUGUGCUCCUACCCUUUGAAGCCUUCUUCCGAGUCAAGUCCGAAUUGAUAAGGCUAGUGAGUUCCCAACCAACUGUACUCAGCAUGCUGCCAGGUGGAGACCCUCCAUAUUUGAUGGCUUCCUAAUAUUAAAAUGCUGACCACUGGUCUUCAUGUUCCACAGGCUUAAUUGUGUCCUUUGCUGAAAGAAUGGAUAGUGAUCCAUUUUAACACAUGAUUCACGCCGUCUUUGCCAUUCUUCAUGGUCUAGCCCUUUUAUAUAUAUGCUUCCUGAACUGUUGCUAUUAAUAAAAUGUGGUAUCUAUCCCGUACACCUUCCUGAUGGCCAGCGAAUGCAGAAGCUACAGAAACGGUUCCAUCUUUUGCUUCCGCCACUUUGGCAUCCUCCAUGAUGAGAUCGAAGGUGAAUAAUCAUAUUCUGGGGAUUUAUGUCCUGGAUAUUCUCAGUAAUGCCCAAUUUCCUGGUGCCGGCCUCAUUUCCAUGGGAACUGAUGGAUAACUUAAGGCUUCUACCAUCUGCGUGGUUCGCUUCUAACACAGGAAACUUCACGGCUAAAAGCAAGAUACCAAGAACAUCAAGGCUGUGACAAAAAUUAGUAUUUUUAACUUGUAGGAAUUUGAAAGGCAACCAACCAUCUAGCUCUGUUCUUAAAGCUCCCAUAGGAGGAUCAGAGGCUGGAUUGCUCAAGAUGAACUCAUCCAUUGUUGCACUUAAAAAGAAUUGGCAUGAAUUGUGGCCGCUCUAAUAGGUUCCCUAAACCAUCAUCCAAGUGGGCUUGCGGAAGGUAGCGAGUUUAAAACACCUAGGGCGAUGAACAGUGGACUGUGAUGCUCACAAAAGAGAAAAGGAAGAAUUCAAUAAUUCCUAAGAAUCCAUUUGCCUGUCAUCCAAAUUUUUAUAUUCUCUUCAGUCUGACGCGUUAUGCCAUAUAUUAAAAAUAGCGGCUUCUUCCAAGCCGAGACAGACUGUGCAAAGUUCGCAAGGCCAAUCAUCACCAUAAUCUGAAGUUGGCCUCCUCAAUCGCAGCUUGUAUCCGAAUGCUCACUUCACGGGAUGGAUUGUAAUGAAAACUAAUCUCAGUCCCAGCUAUGGCAGCAUCCUCACUUGACAGCAUUUUCUGCAUAUUCUAGAACAAAGCAAUAAACCCUCAAAGGCUCCUUCGGAUCAGAGUUAGAAGACUGUCCCUCAGGAACGUGAACACUAUGGUGGUUCUGAUAAGCAGUGAUAUUGCAUUAGAGCCUUUUGGAACAAGAGGAUCUUUUCAGGUGGAAACUGUAAACUGCUUCAUGUUGGGCUGCAACCUUUUCUUCAAGCAAUACUUUCUUUCUGUAUCACGACUUAUGUUGCUUCCGGAGCCAUCCCGUGUGGACUGCCCUUCAGUGAAAGAAUAUGUGUGUUGACAUGUUGGAUUGUAAUCUUUGUUCCACUCUAAUGGCUUUUGGUCCUCCUCUUUCUCUUUAUGACAGAGAACCAUUUAGUGAUCCAUCUCUAUAUUGUAGCAUUGCUGGUGCUUUGCAAUACUACACUCUCACCAAGCAUAACAUCUAUUUUUCCGUGACCAAAGUAUGUCGGUUUAUGCAUGCGCAAACUCUUAUUCAUUGGCAAGUUGUCAAGCGUAUCUCAUGAUUUCCCAAAGCCACAAGUUCUUAUGGUCUUUCUGUUCAAGCUUACAAUGAUCUAUCUUUUCUUGGUUAUACUGAUGUCGAUUGGGCUAGUUGCCCUGAUAACAAGCACAAUACUAGUGGGUACAACACUUUUCCUGGUCCUAAUCUCAUUUCAUGGGCAUUUUCAAAGCAGAAGGUUGUGUCUCACUCCAAUAACGAAUCUGAAUAUAGGGGACUCACUAAUUAAUGUUGUUGCCAAGGUCACUUGGAUUGAAUCUGUCUUACGUGAGUUGCGUGUUUCUCUACCCCAACCACCAAUUUUGUUGUGUGACAACAUUAGUGCUACACACUUGGACAAACCAUGUUGAAAUACACUAUCAUUUUAUCCAUGAAAGGCUUAUGCAUCACACACUCAAAAUUCAAUACACCUCUUCUAUAGACCAACUAGUCAAUGCUAUGACCAAAGCUCUUCCUUCAUCUCACUUGUACAAUCUUCAGUGCAAGCUGAUUGUUCUUCCCAAACCACUCAACUUGAGGGGAGAUGUUAAGCCAAUUUAAUAAAUUGAUUUCUUUUGGUUAAUUUGUUAGAAUCAUUUUUAUUAGAGGUUUGUUUGUACAAUUACAUCCAUUUAUCAGGAGAGUACACGUGUACAACUCCUCUUUUAAUCUCACCAUUGUAUAUAUAUGAUACACGACCUUACUCAGAAUUGCAUAACAUUUCCUCUGCUCAUUCCUUUUCUUCUUUGAAUUUUCCCUUACCUCACUGAUUUUGAUUUAUACCUGGUGUUUUCACCUUUGGUCUCUACCUUUCUAGCCAGUUUUCUAAUUAAUCCGUAUAUGGUAUACCUGUCAACUAAUGAGGAGAAAGAGAAAAGGGGAUUGCUGUUCCACCAGCUACAUAUAAUAAUUAAUUACAAUCAUGGUAAUGGAUCCUGAAAUCCAUCCUUUGUGGAUUUUGUACGGAAUAUUGUUGUUAUGUAUGUGGGCUCACUUAGAUGUAUAUUGCUAGCCUGUCUGGGAAAUGUGAUUGCAGGUCCAGAUUAUGAUGUUGAUAUUAGUGGGAUAAGCAAGAGAUGCAGUUAACACGUAUGUGAUGGACUUGAGUAACUUUUCCAUUUCAGUCCAUUUUUUAAGAUUAUGCUUAGUCUUAUUACAAGGAAAGACCAUAAGAAUCAUGAGUCAUUGGCAAGGUAAUAUCAUUCCCUCUUUACAGGCUUCUUCACCUUUUGGUUUUUUUAAUAUCCAUCAAGAUCUUUUAAUUGGAGGACAAUUACAAGUAUAUAUAUAUGUAUUAAAAGGGGAAAAUAUUAAAACAGGAAAUUUUAGGGAAAAUAUAAUAAUUAUUUCUUCCUUCUUUCCCAUAUAGAACUACACAAAAUAAAACUUUAAUAAUUUUUUCUUAUCUUUUUUAUUAUUAUUUUUUCUUAGAAACAUCCGUGGUCUCACAAGCUUGUAAUCCUAGAUUGUUAGGCUCCUUUAACAGUGCCCCAACAUCGUGGUCCAAUGACAAGCUUCCACGCCUUAAAAUCAGAAAAUGCCAUUAAACUUUAUCAGACAUUACAGUUCAAGACAAAGCUUUCAUUUGCUUAAUGUGAUAAUGAAAUUGUUAAUUUCAUUUCGUGGGCAUCUAAAUUUGGACGAGCAAGACCUCUGAAUUCCCUGUUUUUAUCACCAGCAGAGGAGAUAAAAUCUUAAUGGUGAGAAUCUCCACGUGAAAUUUAUGUGUACUGUCAACAUAUUUUUGUUUAUAUAGUCCAGUAGCUGCAGGAAGUCUAGAUUAUAUAGGUAGCAGUAGCACUAUUUAUAGCACUCGAUAUUCGCUGUAUGAAUACAUUAAACCUUGUUUUCAAUACGCAUCACAAGCAAGUACUAGAUACUACAAGGAGUGACAGUCGCAUCAACAUUUCUUGAUAAUAGCAGUGACUGAUUUAUACACAGAACAGUACUGUACACGUACCAGUCACCAGAGAUAGGAUCUUAUUCCUACAUACGACUCUUAUUGAUCGAAGUCACUCAGUUGGGGUAGCCUGGAGUUGGAGGUUUGUGUGGUGGCUUCUUCUUUGGAGGAGGCUUUAUCUUUGGAGGCAUCAUCUUUGGAGGCAUCUUGUGUGAGUCUUCUUCAGCAUUCUCUACAGGAGGAUGGCCAGGCUUAUGACCCUUAGGUGGUUUGCCAACUGGGAUUGGUGGCUUGUGUCCUGAGAGUGGCUCCUCUUCUUCGGGAGGUUUGCCAACUGACGUUGGUGGCCCGUGUCCUGGGGGUGGCUUGUGUUUUGGGGGUGGUUUCACUCCACCGGGAGGUUUACCAAUUGGUGUUGGUGGUUUGUGCUCAAUCGGUGGCCUCUCAACUGGGGGGCGCUUGGGGUAAUCAGCGAGUGAAGAAGUGGUGAGAACCACCACUCCAAGCAACAACACUAGCAAGUAUGUGGAAGACAUCUUUGAGUUUGGCUCAGAUGGUGUAGAACUAGAAUCCUGGGUGGCCUUUUAUAUUAGUUGGGCCCUAUGCCCGAACGACAAGUGUCAUGGUGACACAUAAAGUGAUGGGGUCGAUUUGGGCCUACCGGAUUUGAAAACUUGGACAAUUCGAGAAGCGUCUCCUGACUCCGGGUUGUAAAGUGAAAGAUUAGGUAUCGACCAUUGAAGUAUGAUCACAACUUUUGGCCUUUGGCUCUCUCUACUGCCGUAUAGCUUUUUUCCUUUGGAUAUUUUUCUUAGCUAGACACAAUUAUUGAGCAGUCUAAUCUCGAAAUGGGAUUAGUAUAGCUUUAAGCAAAUUUAUUAUAGUUAGUGGAGGACUUUUAAGAGUGCAGACGACAUUUAACACAUGCAUGCAGUAGUAUAGGGGACAUAACACUAUUCUUUUUCCAAAGAUUCACAUGAUUUUUAUAUUAUAGUAUUGGCACAUUGUAUGUAGCUGGUUUUGUGGUUAAAAUUCCAUAUGUAGACACUGGCGUUUCUCCAUUUCUCACAAUUGAUGUUUACCUCCACGAUUACUAGAUUAGAUAUACCAAACAAUAACACAUUGUAUAAUCUAUCCGCCCUUCAAAAUCUACUGUAUGAUGAAAUGUUUCAUGUGUGUGUGAAGUGUUAGAAAUGCACUAUAGGCAACAUCAUCUUCUUUUGUCUAGGCUUGGGCCUCAAAUUAUACUCCCAUGCCAUGAUAAAUUUUCAUGUGCAUUCUCUAAAGAAGAGUGUCUUGAAUGUGCCAAAUCAUUUUGAUUGAUUUUAUGAUGUUAAUUGCUCCGCAUAUGGAUGGGUAUGUGCUUUAUUUGCUUAUUCAAUCCACAAUUACCUUGAACUGAAGUCCUAUUGGAGCUCUAUUAUUUUAGCAACGUCCUGUCAAAUAGGCUGCUAACUUGGGGUGGUAUGGACCCAAUGAUCCAUCUUAAUCUUGGGUUGAUUUUGUCUGACUCUAUCUAUCUCAGAGAGAACCAGGAUCACCAGUGCUGGUCUGCUUAAAGAAGACUCAGUACUGGAUUAAUAUUGGUUUGGGUCAAUAGCUUAUAAUGCAUUGAAUGCAGAAUAAACAAGAUCAAUGAAACCCAAAACACACUGCCCACACAACUUCACUCUGGUGUCUGUUAUUCAUCAAUUCUAUUCCCACAUGAACUGGUUCAAGUUUAAGAAAAUGACAACGGAUCCACUGUAUUAACUUGGUUUUGCUUGGUUUUGAGCUAGUUGCCAAACCAGCCAUGAGUUUUACCUCUAAUGUCAAUGAACAAACCCCAAAUGAACAACUGCAACAGCUUAAAGAGAAGGAAUGGAGAUGAAAAUCCCUGUUUCUUCUCAUUCUGGGGACAAAUUAGAACAUAACUACAAAGGUUCUAUUAAUUGACUUACUCUACCAUGAAUUAUGGUUCUUUGGUUUUCCAAAUUUAAAUUGUACAUGAGAUUAUUUUUUUCCUUUAUAUAUAAACAUAUUAAGGUUUUCUUAUUUCGUGGGCAAAUGCGCUAAGGAUGAAAGUCAUUUCAUUUGGCUGCAACAGCAUCUUAUAAUCAACAUGCAUAAGCAGCAGUUUUAAUUGAUCGAUUGAACACCGACUCACAAGAAUAGAUAGAAUGGUACAAGACAGCUCUUAUUAAUUUAUACUCGUUACUCAUUUUAUGUAGCCCCAUUAAGAUGGCUGGCUGGACCACCGAGGUCUGGGGGUGGUGUUGCUUGUGUGAUGCAGCGGGCCGGGCAGACACUUCUCUAGUUGCUUCUAUUUGGAGUUAGAGGAUCAGUCUCUGCCAACCUUGAGGACUCUCUACCUCAGAGGGUCCAGGUGGUGGACUCUGGUGUCGGUAGCUUUGAACUCUCAGUAGACUAGUGUGUCUUAAUCAGUCACUGCCAGAGGCUGGCGUAGGCAGUGACGAUAAGGUGAGACAAAUUACCGAAUAGUCAAUAUCGACUGCACUUGACCAUUAUAGAUUUGUUCUGACAAAAGUGAGAAAAGGGAGAAAAUCGGAUGUUGACCUUUAUAGAAAAAGAUAAGAUUUACUGCAACACAGAGCACUGAUUUGUUACUUGGAAACCAAGUUAUGCUAUUAGCUAGCCUCCAUUAGCAGCAGGGUACCUUGCUGCCUGAUCCUAAUCUGAGUUCCCAAGGUUUCAAUCUUCGUUUGUUAACGCUUCAGGAUUUGGAUAUUUCAGCUUCGUUUCUCCAUUUAGCCAACGCUGCCUGGUUUGGAUUUCAAUCCUCAUCUGGAACAUUCUUUUUUCGGUCUGAUUCAGGAAGUGUUUGGUGAUAGUUGAUUAAAAUUAAACAGUACUAUCAUACAAAUAAAGCUGAUCUAAUUUUGGUGGGCAAUAUACCAACUCAUUUAUUCUUGAAAACACCAUGGGGAAUUGGAGGUCCAUCCGAAGUACUAUUUGAUGGGACUCACAAAAAGAACAGGUGCACAUUUAUGAGAUCCGUGGAAGAGAUAACUAUGACAGCUAUGCAUGUACAACAGAUUUAUGUCGAGUUCACCUCGUAGAUAUUUUGUUUUCAGUGUCGGUGGACCCCAAAAUGGAAAUCGGAAAUUAAGGUUAUAUUUAUUUUUUUAUUUAAUUUUAAAUAGAAUUUUAAUUUUUAAUAAUAUUAAGUAUUAAAUUAUUUUUUUAAGGGUAUUUUAUUUUUAUUAAGUAUUAAAAAGUAAAAAAAAUUAAUAUGUUGCUUUUUUAUUUUAAAAAAAUUAUAUAUUUUAAUUUUUUCUAUUUACUAAAAAGUUUAUAAUAAAUUAUAAAAAAAUAAAAAAAUAAAAAACUUAAAUUCUGAAAAUAAAUUAUUUUUAAUAAAAAAAUCCAAAAAAGCAAACACCACCUAAAUUUGAGAUGACUCAAAAUUUUAUAUUUUUUUUCACCUAAAUUAUAUUCAUAAAUUUAAAAUUAAAAAAUUAGGAAGUUGAAUUUUAUUUUGGAUAAUUGGAAACUACAAGAAAUCAAUAAAAAUAUUUGGAAAAAAAAGAAAAAGAAAAACUAUCUAUAUAUUCACCCCCUUCUAAGAAACAUAACUUUAGUUUUUAACUAUUUUUUAAAAUAAUUUUUGAAAAAUGUUAUAUAAUAUUUUAUAAAACAAAAAAUCUGUUUGACAAUUUGAUAUGUCUUUAACUUAUUUUUAAUAUUUAUAUAUAUAUAUUUUAAAAAUAAUUUUAUAUUUAGAACUUUAUCUUUAAUUAUUAUAUAUAUUUAUAUAAUUAUUUUUUUUAAAACAACUCUUAAAAAAUAAGUGAAAGUAAUUGAAAACAACUCAAAGAUAUUUGAUGAAAACACUCUAAUUUGUAUUUUUGAGAAUAAAAAAAUAAAUAAAUAAAUUUCUAGUUAUCAAAUGUAUUUUUUAAUUCUUUUAUUCUAAAAAAUAGAAAAUCGUUUUUGAAAAUAAUUAUUAAACAACAUUCUUAAAAAUUCACUCGUUACAAUCUAGAUUUAAUGCAAGAAUGAUUGAAGGAGUCCUCCAAUAGAACCCAAAGUUAUAAACAUGAACAAGAAGCCCUAGAAACACCAAAGAUCUCAUAUGGUAUAUAUAUGAGCUUGAUUGAGAACUGUUUUAAAUUCAGUUUUUUUUUUUUUUUUUUUUUUUUGUUUUCAAAGUCAAAACAAGUUUACUUUUAAUUUUUACUUCUUUUUUUUAAUUUUAUAAAUAACAGUUUUUUAAUAAUUUAUUUUGAAAACAUGAUUAUUUUUAAAACUUAUAAUGAAAAUAGGAAUUUUUUUUUUAAUAUCAUGGUUAUUUUCCCUUCUUUUAAGGAGGGCUAUUUUAAAAAUAAAUUUACAAAUAUGAAAAAUGAUUCAAACUAAAGCAGUACAAAUAAAAAACAUUUUUAAGAAAUAUUUAAAAAUAGAGAAAAUUAUUUGAGAACAUUUGAAGUCCUUAAAUAGACUUUUGUUUUAGAAAAGGCAAGAUAAUUAUUUUUGAAAAUUGUUUUCAUAAUGAUAUGCAAAAACCUACGUAAAAACCAUAAUUAUAAUCGGCCACAUAUCAAAUCUACUAAAUAUGAAAAGUAAGUACAUAAUUAUAUUUGACUUAGAUGCAAGGAGGAAAAUGUCGCGAUAUUAUCGCCGAAAUAUCGUGUGUCGAAGGGUAUCGACACGAUUUUUCUUGCAGAAAUAUCGGCCAGUCGAUUUUUCGGGAUAAAUCUCGAGAAAUCGGCAAUUUAUCGCGAUAUAUCGGCGAUUUUUCCUCGAUAUAUCUUCUGGUCAACGCGGGUCAACGGAGUCAACACGCUACAGUGAAAGUCAAAUGUGCUACAAUGUCCCCGCUACAAUCACCUCCCCAAACAAAUUGCCAAAUUGCUUCCGAGGGGAUUUGAACCAGCCUUCUUGCCAUUUGGGCUAACUCGCCCUUAUGAUAUAUAUUGCAUUAAACAUAUAUAUACUUAAAGUCCUUAUAUAAAGAAAAUGUUAAAAAAAUAUUUUAAAGAGCAAAUUAAUUAUAAUUAUUUUAUAAUUAAAAGCAAAAUUUUCUUUUAAUUAAUUACCAAAAAUAUAAAAAUUAUAUAAUUUUCUUCAUAAUGUUUUUAAUAUCAUUAAUAAUUAAUUAAAUAUUAAAAAAUUAUAUAUAUAUAUAUAUAUAUAUAUAUAUAUAUUAUAAUUUAUUUUAUAUUGUUUAAUACAAUUGAAUUAAAUGGAUCAUAUUUUAAUAUUAAUAUAUAUUUUAAAAUUAGACAUAUUGUAAUCAAAUAUCAUAAUAUUAUAUGUAAUUUAAUAAUAAAUGUACACUUAUAAAAUUCAUAUUUUUAUCGAUGCAUACAAUAUUAUUAUCAAAUAUGAUAAAUCAUGUUAUACAUAUAUCAAAAUUUUCAAUAAAAUAACUUUAAAAUGUCUAUUAUACUUCUAAUUAUAUUAUUAUGAGGUUUUCUUUACAUUUUCAUGAGUUUUAAACAAUUUUAAGCACCAAUAUUUUUUUCCAAAAUAUCCACCGAUAUAUCUCCGAUAUAUCCAAUAUAUCUCCGAUAUCUCCGAUAUAUCCGUAAAAUCGAAGUACCGAUAUAUCCGUGAUUACCGAUAUUUUCAUCAUUGCUUAGAUGCAACCUUCUUCCAAAUGACAUACUUUAGUCAAUACUUAUAUUUUUUCGUUUCACUUCUUUGAUACAACACCUCAUGGAUUUAUUGUUUAAUUUAUUUGUAAUUAUAAAACUAUUUUUCAUUUUUAAUAAGACUUGAAUUAAUUUAAUAAAUAUUAUAUAAUUUGAAUUUAUAAUUCUUUUUAUAAAAUCAAAGUAUAUUAAAAAAAAAACAAUUUAUCCGAAGAAAGUUUUUUAUUUUUUAUUUUUUAAAACCGAUUUUAAAAAUAACUAGCUAGACACCCUUAUUUUGAUAAAAUACGAAAUAAAAGUGUAAAAACAACAUGGCCAAAUAGGGGCUUAAAUUUUAUUUUUAAAACAUUUUUUUACACUAAAGUGCAUUUUAAAAACACCAUCAAAACCAACUACAAGUUAUGCUUCUUCCCGUAAUAGAAAUAUUUUAGGCCAAAAUAGAACCUCCCCAAAUAAAGACCCUAUACUAAACUCCUUUUCAUUUUAUUAAUACAAAAGUGGGGAAAAAAGGUCUAUGCUCACCUAAAAAACAUGAAUAUUGUGAAUUCACCAUUUCUAUAAGGAAGUUGAAAACUUCAAAAUUUUAUCAACAAAUUCUCUAAAAUCCUCAAAAUAUAUAGGGCCUGUUUCACAAAGUUUUUUAAAAUUUGUUUUUAUAAAUUGCUUUUAAAAUAUAGAAUAAAUAACAGUUUUUUAGAUUUUUUGAAAAAUAAGAGUGUUUGGUAAGAUGUUUUUUUUUUUUUUUUUUUUUUUAAGAAUUAAAUAAAAAAUAAAAAAAUUGUUUAGAUAAAAGAAUUUGUAUUGUUUUUAAAAACAAUGUCUUACUUUUAUGUUAUAAAAAUUUUAUUAAUUUAAUUUAUAAUAAUAUGAAAUGAAAUUCAAGUUAAGUCUUAUUAAAAAAUACAAAUUAAAUCUAUAAUUAUGCAUGAGUUAAAGAUAAAUAUAUAUUUUUUAAAACUAUAAAAUAAAUUUUCUAUUAUAGUGAAACAAAAAUUACUAUAAAAUAAAAAUAAUUUUAAUAUUCAUUUUUAAUACAAGUCAAAUAAGUACUUUAAUUAAUUUUUUUUAUCAUGAUUUCUUAUGUUUUUUUUUUUUUCUAGAAAUUAUUUUAAGUAAUAUAACUAAUUUUUUUUUUAAUGUUUUAUAAAAAUAAGGAUAUUUGGCAAGUUGUUUUUAUAAAAGGAUUUUAAAAAUAAAUGGAUUUUUUUUUUUUUUAAAAAAAGAACAAAAUGAUUUGUUUGAAUAAAUUGUUUUGAUUUUGUAAAAACAUUUUAAAUUCAAUUUAUAUAAUAUUAAUUAAUUAAAUUAAAUUGAAGUUUUAUUGAAAAUAAAAAUAAUUUUGUAAUUAAAAUUAGAUUAAAAAAUAUAUAGGUUUUAAUAAAUCGUAAAUAGUAAUAUUAUAAUAAAAUUAUAAAUUAUAUUUUUAACAUAAAAUAUACUAUUUAUUACAUAUUAAAAAAAAUAUUUUAUUAUAUUAAUAAUUUUAUGGUAUUAAUGAGUUUAUUAUUUAAGUUUUAAAUUAUUUUUAAAAAUUAAUAAAUUUGUUAACAAAUGCAAUGUACUAAAUGUGGUUUAAUUUGGAGUUAAUUUGUUUAGGGAAAAAAAUAAAAAAUAAAAAUCUUAUGUAAAAGAGAAAUAAUAGAGUGUGUGUGUUUUUUUUUAUUAUUUUUAAAAAUCAGUAAAAAGAACUUUUACUUAUUGCCUAAAAAUUAUUCUCUAUUUUAUUUUAUUUUUUAAAUCUAGAAAUAGAUAACAAUAAUAAAAAAAAUUAAAAAAGAAAAAUGUUUUUUAAAACUCAGACUUAUAAUUGCUUUUGUUUCUCAUUCGCACCCCUGGAUUCCUGGAUUCUAAACACAAAAUUAAGUUGAAUCGUCCAUCUAUCUUGUAAGCCAAGAAUUCACAUAGAAGAAAUAAUCGGAAUUUGAUUUGAUAUCAGAUUUAGAGUGGCUCACUACUCAUGCAUUGUCCCACAAUAGUAAUGCUUUGGGCCGAGAUAAACCCAUUUGUGGGCCCAAAUAAAACCCCUGGUUUGAAAACAUCGAUUUUACAGUGGCCCAAAAGAUUAUCUAUGAGGGGAAGAUAACUUGGAAGUCAAGCAAACACAUUUAUCGCUAACUUUUCUCUAAUUAUAAAAUUAUAACUUGGUCUUCUACACGUCUCACUUAAGAGGCGGAGCCACUUGGCACUACCUUUCCAUAUUGUAAAAGGAGAAGAAGCAGAAGGAGAAGAUUCUUAUGCCAUUCCACACACCAUGGCUAGUACUGCUAUGCUGCUUGGCCCGCCGGCUCUCCGCCAUCCUAAUUCUCCCGCCGGCACUGUCUUUGAAGAUGGGGUCAUUCUAACGGAUUCCCUGAUCGUCCGCACCAGUAAUCUGGAGCUUUCUGAAAAACCGCCACUGGAAUCCCUGGCGUAGUGCUCUGUCAGUGGGGAUAUUGCUAUGGAUUGUUUGGAUUCCCAAGCCCACAAUCUUCAUCUUCCCGGGAAACCGCCGAUGGGCUUAACGGAAAACAAGUCUCCGACCUUUUUGUCUUCCGGGAACCCGUGCUUGGACUUCUUCUUCCAUGUGGUUCCCGAUACGUCGUCUGAUGAUCUGAUCCGACGGUUUGAGUUGGCUUGGGAAUUCAAUCCGCUGACGACGUUAAAACUGAUAUGCAACUUGAGAGAGGUGAGAGGCACCGGAAAAUCUGACAAAGAGGGUUUCUACACGGCGGUUCUCUGGCUCCACGACCACCAUCCCAAAACCCUAGCCUGCAAUGCUAGGGUGUUGGCCAGCUUCGGUUAUUUCAAGGAUUUUCUCGAGAUUCUCUACCGGCUUCUGGAGGGCCCUAAAAUUCGAAGAAUCGAAAAGAAAGACUGGCUGGAUCGAAAAGGAAGGAAGAAAAAUUCCCGGAAAAGGAACUCAAUAUUCAAGCGAGAAAAUAGGCCUGGAGUUGAAUUUCCUGUAGAAGAGAAGGAUGUGGAGUAUAUGGUGGAAGAAUUUGUGGAUAAAGAAAAGGCUAGGGUACUGAGAAAGGAGAGAGAACUUGCUCUUGCCAAAAGAGCCCUGCACAAGUAUUCUACUGAUUCUAAUUAUCAGUUCUUACAUGAUCAGAUUUCAGAUUUAUUUGCUGAACUUCUGAAAUCUGAUAUUCAGUAUUUAAACUCCGGUGAGCUUUACAAGAUUAGUCUCGCAUCCAAAUGGUGUCCCACAAUUGAUUCUUCUUAUGAUAAAUCCACCUUGAUAUGUGAAAAUAUUGCUCGAAAGGUUUAUUCUCGCGAGGAAUAUAUAUCCAGAAUACCAAGGAAUUGAGGAGGCUCACUAUGUUAAUAGAGUCAGGGAUAGGUUGAGAAAACAAGUACUUGUUCCAUUACGUAAGGCCCUGGAGUUGCCAGAGGUUUUCAUGUGUUCGAACCAGUGGGGAUCACUUCCCUACAACCGUGUGGCUUCAGUGGCCAUGAAAUCAUACAAGAGCCUCUUCUCAAAACAUGAUACAGAGCGGUUUGGUGUGUAUCUUGAGAAAGUGCAAACUGGGAAGGCUAAGAUUGCAGCUGGUGCAUUACUUCCCCAUGAGAUUAUAGCUUCAUUGAAUGAGGAGGAUGGCGAGAAAGUUGCAGAGCUUCAGUGGGCGAGAAUGGUGGAAGAUUUAUCAAAGAAUGGGAGGCUCACAAAUUGCAGUGCGGUAUGUGACGUAUCAGGAAGUAUGAGUGGAACUCCAAUGAAGGUGUGUGUGGCUCUGGGGCUGUUAGUUUCAGAGCUCAGUGAAGAUCCAUGGAAAGGUAAUGUAAUUACUUUCAGUGCAAGUCCUGAGCUUCACAAGAUCCAAGGAGACAGCCUUGUAUCCAAGACUGAAUUUGUGAGGAUGAUGGAAUGGGGUGCGAACACUGAUUUUCAGAAAGUUUUUGACAGAAUCUUACAAGUAGCAGUGGAGGGAAAUCUGAGUGAAGAUCAAAUGAUAAAGAGGGUUUUCGUUUUCACUGAUAUGGAGUUUGAUGAAGCUUGUGGGAGGUAUAACUAUUGUGAAUAUGACUAUGAUAUGGAGGAAAUUGAUGAGAGUCAGAAGGCAUCUCAGAAGUGGGAGACAGAUUAUGAAGUGAUACAGCGGAAAUUCCAGGACAAAGGAUAUGGAAAAGUUCCGGAGAUAGUGUUUUGGAACCUUAGAAACUCAUCAGAGACUCCAGUGAUGGCCACAGAGAACGGGGUGGCCUUAGUAAGCGGGUUUUCGAAGAAUCUGUUAGACCUUGUUUUUGGAAGGAGGUGGAAUUCUGACCCCUCAGGAUGUGAUGGAAUUAGCCAUCUCUGGUGAAGAUUACAAGAAACUUGUUCUAUUUGAUUAAGAUAUCAAGAGAUUUAUCAAUAAUAAUAUGUUUUUUUUUUUCUAUGUGAAAUACAUGUAAUAUUAACUAUGGAGUUAUCAAAGUUCUGGAAAUUUAAUUAUUUCUUCUUUUCAAGUUUUGUUUGUCUUUGUUAGGAAUUCCCCUUGGGCGGACCCAGCUGGGGACUUGGAUUGAGGAAGUAAGGAGGCGAAAUUGUGUUCUUCUAUGGACAGAGAAAAAAGAUAAAAAUAAAAAAUAAAAAAGGAGGUUAUUUGCAUUUGGAUGUCAUGUGGUUUCAGGGUACAACUACAAGUUCGAAAUUGUACAUAAUGUGAAAAUUCCUGUGUGGAGAACAGCAUAAAUAUGUAUCUCAGUGUGUUUUGUUUGAGCUAAUUGGCAAAUUCGCUUUAAACAUGGUCACAUGGAUGCAUAUUUAUUUGUGAAAUGAUAGUAGUCGAUUACUUGGUCAGUAAGGUUUGUAUCUCUAACUCCAACAUCUUAUUGUAGUCUUUUAAAAUGUCAAAAGUUUAAUGCUAGCUUGAGAAAUUUUGGAAUGGAGACAUUCUAAACAAAGUUAAUAAUCCAUGAGACUUGGUAAAACCGAUCAGAUGAUGCUUACGUACAUGAAUGCCUUCUUUAAGCCGUAUCCUAUUUUCAUUGAAUGAGACGUGCCAUCUAGUUUUGUUCUUGUCUUGAUUGGAUCAUGAUCCCGGGAAUUGAUUACUGUUCUGAAUUUGCGAAUGUUCAAGGUAUUAGAGAAAGUUAAUAUUAUCGUUAAUUUACAUAUUAGUAUUUAUCUAGUUAUUAUAUAUUAGUUUGAAUUAUAAUAUAAUAUAGAAUUUGAAUCAAGUUUACUAUUAGUUUGAAUUACAAUAGGAAAUAAAGUUUGAAUUAUAGUAUAACUCAAAUAUAUUUGUAUAUAAAUAUCCAUCUUUAUCAAUGAGAAUAGUAAACCAUAUUUUUCUCUAUCUUCUUCUUUCUCUAUAUAUAUGGUAUCAAAGCCUCCAAAUCCUAAACCUAGUCUCAACUUAGAGCAAAUUUAGGGUGCAGGGUUUAGGCCCCGCCUCCCCCAACCCUUACCACAAAUGGUAGUGACCUUGUUAUGCCUAUGUAUUGUCAAUGCCUCAUUUUCUAUGGUCUUCAAUACAAUAUCUAGUUUCAAUGUCUCUUUCCUUACUAUCUCCAAUGCAAUAUAUUGAUUUCAAUAUCUCUUUACAACCAAGAGCUCCAAAUUUUCCUGGUUCAAAUCUACCAUAAUUUUUAUUCUCCUUUGCUUUUUACCAAUAUUAGUUCCCCUAAUUUAAUAUAUAUCUCUUUAUUACCUUCAACUCUACCUCUCUCUUUCUUUAAAAGCUUCCUCAAAGAUUUGAUUGCUUUCUUGCAUGUUUUGGGAAAACAAACAUGCUCAUAUUCUAUUACCUCUACUUGAGAUCUGCCUUAUACUCUACCUUCUUCUUUACCUCCUAUAUCAUCUACUACAUUAGCUUCAAAAACAUUAUUUAGUUUGAUGCUAAAUAAGGCUCCUAAUCCUACCCUUCCUUCAACUAACUUUCUUUUACAAGUCCCUCAAAGUUUUUUUUUUUUUUUUUUUGGAAAUUUGGCUUAGAAAGAUUUCAUUACUCUUACCUAAUCUUUCAACCAUCAAGUCGAAUCCACUUAUCUCUUGAAUCCAAGGAGACUACCCUCCACAAAAACAAGGAGAUUGACCCCCACAAUAACAAAGAGAUUGUCCUCCAUAGAAACAAAGAGAGCUUCCUUCAUGGAAGCCGAAUACAUCGCAAUCUAUUUUCUUUCUCUCAAGAUCAAAUCUCCAAUCGGAGCUCCAUCUUGUGGGGAUAUAUUAGAAAAAGUUAAUAUUAUCCUUAAUUUACAUAUUAGUAUUUAUCUAUAUUAUAUAUUGAAUUAGAAUAGAAUAUAGAAUUUGAAUUAAGUUUACUAUUAGUUUAAAUUACAAUAGGAAAUAGAGUUUGAAUUAUAGUAGAACUCAAAUAUAUUUAUAUAUAAAUAUCCAUCAUUAUCAAUGAGAAUAGUAUUCCAUAUUUUUCUCUUUCCCUGAGGCUUCAGAAUGUGAUCUUGAACAUUUGAUCUUUUGGAUUCUUCUUGUUUCGGUGGUUUAAUAUAAUGGAAUGUUUAAUUAUAGCCUACUUUAUCACCAUGGAUGUGCUCCUGCAGAUUUCUUGAGGGUGAUGGUUAUUUUGUCAUGUUUCUUGAAUGGUUUGCAUCAGCUGCCUGAGCUGUUGUUGCUGGUCACUUUUGCAACCAGGGAAAGAAUCAUGGCUUUGGAGAAGCCAGCUUCUGUUUUUGUUGCCCAGCUGUUAGUUCACUAAGAUUGGGGGUCCUAACAUGUAUGUAUAAUCAUAAGCAAGGAAAUUUUAUGUCUUACGCUAGAUAGGUACCAUGAUAUGAUGUUUGAUUGAUUUAUUAACUCUACCUGUUUCAAAAGGCAUCAACAUUAAUUUUACCCUUUUAACACAUUGGAUUGUUUGACCUUACGAGAUUUUCUAUUUCUGUACUAUUUGAACUGCAAUCGUUAUGGUCCUUAGGUCUCUAAACCUUCGUUUAAAAUAAAAGUAAGGAGCACACAUAGUAAAAGUUAAUUUUGGGUAACUUUUAAAACAAAGAGAAAAGUAAAAGUUGUUUUUGAGAAAAACAUAUAGAAAUUGAAAGAUUUUUUAUUUUGAGAAAAAAAAGUCAUAGAAAAGAAAUAAUAUCCCCAUAUAAGUAGAUAUGAUCUAUCCGAAGUGUAGCUACUCUCCUGGAUUUAUUCUAACAUUUUAAAAUUUUUCUCAAUGGGCAAAGGAAUAUCAAAUCAAGCUUGAGUAGGAUUAAUUUCUUAAUUUUUAAAAUAACUUAUAAUUAAAAUUUUUUGGUGUUUUCUUUUUUGGACAAUUUUUUAUGAAGACUCUGAAUCAUGCAAGAGAUAUGGUUAUUUUAAAAAAAAAAAUAAUUUAAAACUCAAAUACAUAAUCAAUGUCACAAAUUUAUAAACAAAAGGUUUUUAAAAAAUACUAUUAUUUCCCCUCUACACAUAAUUUUACUUUUCCGAUUUAUUUAUUUUUGUUGGAAAACAGUCUUCAAAUCAAGUAAAAUUAAUAUGUUAAAUUUGUUAAACAAAUAAAUUUUAAAAUACAAUUUGGAACUCAAAAAUCAAUUCAAGUAAUGCUAAAAUUCAAAAAAUCAAAUUUGGAAUAAAAUGACUUUGUAAAUUUUUUUACUAAACAAAUGAAUUUUAAAUCAAGUGAGAUUUAAUACAUUGGAUUUUUAUGAGAAUAGUAAUUUUAAAAAUUAAUUUGGAACUCAAAAAUAGACACAAUAAAUACCAAAAAUCAAUGAACCAAAAUUGGUUUGGAAUAACUCCAUAAUUUUUUAUUUAUUUAUAUAUUUAUUUUUUUGUGCACACGAAUUUCUUACUAAGCAUAUUGCUUCCAAAUUGAGAAAAAUUUACUAUUUAGAUUUUUUUAAUGAGUUUAAUGGUAUUUAAAAAUAAUUCAAAAAUUCGAAAAUUGACUAAUUUAAUAUUAUAAAUUCAUAAACCAAGACUAAUUCAAAAUGCAUUGGGGGCUAAGGGGGUUGAAAUUAAUGCUCCAUUUGGUUGUGGCCACCAAUUGGCAAUGGCCACCAAUCAACCAAUCAAGGUGGCUAAGGGGGUUGAAAAUAGGGACAAUGGGGUGGGUUUGGGACAGGACACUCAUAUCCCAUUCCCAUCCCAAUUACACAGUUAUUUCCCAUCCUUAUUCCAAACUUGUGUUGGGGCAAGUUGAUUUGUUCCCAUCUUUGUUAACGAAAUGACUAAUAACCUCAUCCUCUCCUUGUCUUAGAUGUACAUUUUCUCAAAUUUGGUCAGGUAUGAUUGAUUCAAGCCCUAACCUUAAUUGGUAAUGAGUGGAUACCACACCUAAUUGCAUUCUUCUUUCGUUGCAAAAUAAUGAGAUUAUAAUAAUCUAGCAAAUAAGAAAAAAUAGUAUGGAAGUUCAAAUUAACACCAUAACUAUCAAUAAUUUUAAGCUUAUAGAUGACUUAAAUGAUUGAAAACUAAUGCAAAAUACUAAAAAAAAAAAAAAUCAUCUAAAGAAUUCACAAGAGAAUAGAACGAACAAAACCAAAUAGGAACAUGGGUCAACAUUAGUUACAGAUUUUGAUCCCUUUCAAGGCCAAUCUUUGAACCAAGACUUCAUCAAAUCUACUACUUCAAAGGCUUUUGUGUUCUUCUUGAGUUGUACUCUGGAACAAAGACUUCGAGGUGAUGCUUUAGAUGAUUGCAUUACACAUAUUUAGGGUAGGGAGAUUGGAGAAGCUUGAAGAUGCCAACGAUGGGUACAAUUGAGUGGUCAAUAAGAACAAUGUGGCCUAUGACUAGUUUGAUGUCAUGGUAUAGGAGUUUUGGGCAUUGAGGUGAAAGCAAGAGCAACAUGGAAUUGAUUUCAAAGUCUUUCAAUUAGUGUAAAGGAGGAAGAAGAAGUGGUAUUGAUCCUAGAAAUAGUGUUUUAGGUGUUGCAUUAGAGGAAAAGAAAAAGAAAAAGAAGGAACCAUUGGAAUUAGUACGAGUGUGAAGAGAGAAGUGUAUACAUAAGGGGAAGUAAAAGCAAAGUUCUAAAAAUUUAUUUUUUUAUUGGUGGUGUAUGGUUGCAUGAUUAUCCCUAUAAAUAAUAGGAGUUUUUUGGUGUUCUACUAGUAGUUGAAGGAUAAUUUCAUAAGAUAAUAUUUAGAGCGGGGUGGGGUGAGUUGUGACAAAAUCCAUACCCGUCCCAAACAUUGGUUCAGGUUUUUAAAAUAUUUUCAAACUUAUCAUAUACCCAAUUUUAUAUUUCAUACUUGUCCUAAUAGAGACAGGUUAGUCAGGGUUACUUGAGUAGCCUACAAAACUAUCAUCCCUAGUUGAAAUGCUCUUUUUGGCAGUGGCAGCUAGAAGCUCGAUCGAUUGACCUACAAGACUAGUUGUCAUCAUUUUAAAAAGAGUUUUGGCUUUGGUUGUGAGUGCAAUUGAAUCUAAACUAACAUUUCCUUAAUGCAUCUACUUCAAUCCUAAACUUCUUACUUAAGCCUCAAUUGUUGUUAAGAUUUUGGAAAACCCAUUUCCUUAAAUUGUAAAUUUAAGAAAAAAAAAAUUAAAAGUGAGACAUUUCUUGAUUGAAUGUUGUUAAAGGUCCCUUGGAAUUAAGACUUGGUUGAAGCCUUGGAAGAUUAGCAGAACUCUCAACUUAUGUUUGAACCUUGAGGAGAGUGGACGUAGGCCAAAAUUUUGUCAAACCAUUAUACAAAUUGAGUUUGAAUUCUCAUUUCUUGAUUUCUUAUUUAUUUGCUUUUUCUUAUUAUUACUUGAAUUGUCAUUUGCAUUCAUUAAUGUUAAAAUUGGUUAUAAUUAGCCAACACUAAUUCUCUUUCCCCUUCCCUUAAUUUCUUGGGUGUAAACCUAGGUUGGAUUAACUAGAUUUUAUCAAAUCUAUUAAGAUGGUAAAAGAAUAAUUAUUCUUAACAUACAUAAGAUCAUCUUCAAUCAAAUGACUCAUUGGCUGAUAUGUUGAAUUUGCUUAUUACUUGCAACUCAAAAUUGUGUUCUAGUUGAUAUGUCAAGUCCUGAGUGUAUGGACAUUAAAUUUGUAGUACGUGAUGAGUAUUUAGAUGGUCCAAUUCCAAGAAAGUGAUUGAAAACUAGUUCAAGAAAGGUGCAAAAGGGAAUUGUUUUGGUAUUUUCGUUUUUAUUCUUGAAGGUGGCAGAGCUAAAAUUUGAGAAAUCAAGCAAAACAUACUGAAAUUACAUUGAAAGAAAGAAAAUGGGAGUUAAUGUCUUGCAGUACAUGAUAAGGACUUCAUGCAUGUAGUGUGACCCAUGUCUUGGACUGAUGCCACACUCACGGUUACACUUAUACCCUUAGUUCUCUCUUUACUACCUUAGCUAACCUAGAUCAGGUUAUGAGAUAGGCACCUCACCACACCAUUACUUGCCCAUUAAUUAGUGACAUUUUCAAGCAAUGAGGUAACAUGGUGACACCAAGAGGGUAUAUUCCUCACCCCCAACAAGCCUAGACCUGGUCUAAAAAAAAUGGAGAAAAAUGACGUGUUGUUAUGCAGAAAUAUAGCAACCAUGCCUUCCUCAUUACUUAGAUUCAGAAUGUGAAGGUGAAAUUGAGAAACAGAAACUCUUGAAACCAAAAUGAAAAUUGAUACUUUUACGAAGAAUUACAACAACAUUAGAGGAAGACUACAUUCUUCCUCUUUAUUCCUACAUUUCUACACUACUUCUACUCCACUCCAUAUUUCUACAUACAUCUUUAAUCAGUCUUCCCUCCUUUAUAUAGAGCCAUCUUCACACAAAUUCCGCAAGGUAGAAAAGAGGAAUGAAACUUGGAGCAAGGUUCGACUACUGGCUGUAGCUUGUCAAGGCUGAAAGUGAACUUUUUUUCUUGGCUUUUCUGGGCAUAGGUAGUAACUUGUAGGUUCCUUUUUGGAAUGAAAAUGGUACGGCUAGAACAUGUGGCACUCUCUUGUUGGAUGAUGUGUCAAGCAUGUGGCAGCCAUCUAGUGGAGAUUAUGUCAAUUUUGGGAUGGAGAGUUGGCAUCCAAUUGCAAAGAAAUAUGACAUCUACCAACAUGCAAUGUCAACCUAUGUAGAUCAUAUGAAGAUAGAGAGGAAAAAUAUAGAAAUGGAUAUAUAACUAGAACUAGCUUUUUAUUAAAUGAGACGGAGAGCCAACAAUGAAGGAAAAUCAAAAUUUUUGGCUCAUAUCAAAGAAUUCACAUUGUGUUACCCUAGGUUUUCUUAAAACUUACUUUUAUGAUAAUAAAAAAUCAUUAUUGUUUAAUCCUUUGUUUUAAACGCAUGUUUAGCAGGUUGUAAAAUGUAAAUAUCUUUCGAAAUUCAAAUAUGAAGAUAUGACAUCAUUUCAAGCAAUAUAGUCUCUAGGAAUUAAUGUAAAGCUAAAUUAAGGUGCAAUUAAGUUAGUUCAAUGCAUUAUUUUAAGAAACUUGACCUAUCAAAACCUUGUCUUACUUCAAAGCCUCUUUUUCUUUUCUUCCAACUAACAUUUUAAUAAGUGAUCGCAAAAGUACAAAAUUAGAUGAAAUCCAUUUCAAUGGUUAAAAUGAUCAAAUUCAAACUUUUUCUAAGUAUCUUUUAAAAGCAUCAAUAUUGAAAGACAAUUUUAUAUUUAGUCAAAGCUUGGACAGAGCCAAAAAGCACACAAAAAUUUAUAUUUUCUAGCUCUCUACCUUGGAUGGUCUCUUGAUCCUACUUGGAGAUGUGCAUAAAUAAAAGGAUUUGAAAAUGACAAUUGACUAAGUAUGUAGUCAAUCAAUUACUCAUUGAUUGACUAGUUGAUCAAUUAACUUUGCAACAUCAUAUGCAAUCCUAAUAGCUAGUCAUCUAAUCAACUAGGUAGUAAAUCAAUAGGCCAAAAAUAUGUUUAUAAUGACUAUUUUGUACAAAAACCACUUAUAUAGUUAAAUAUAAUGCAUUUCAUUUAUAAAUCUUCUAAUUCUUGAAUAACAAUCCUAUCAUCCUUUGAAAGUUUUUAUUACACCUUUUCUACAUUUGUUCUAAAACUUAUACAUCACCCUUAAUUGUACCAUGAGAACCUAGCAUUUUUUUUUUUUUUUUUGUAUUUCAUCAAAGUUAGCUCUUGUACUCAUUGUUGUAUUAUUUUUAUUGUAACUUAGAGAGCGAGUGUUUUCAAGUGAGUGAAAUUGACUUGUAAAUAUUGUAAAGAUUCAUUGAUAUGUAUCUCAAACUAGGUGUACAAGUUGAAACAUUUGCUAGUAGAUUUUCUCAAGAUUUAGAAUGAGCUUAAGGCUAUCGAAUUAGGUGGGGUUGCGCCAAACCAUAUCACAUCGUUGUUUGCACCUUUUUUUUCACUCUCUUUUACUUAGUUGCUCUAUAUAUAUUGUCUAGCAAUAUCCUAAAGGCUUGAUGGGCUAGGGAGCAUCCCUCUGAAUGAAAAAUUUUCAUUCAAUUCUUAGUUGUAUUACGCAUAUAUAAAAUGCCUCAUUGUUUUAAUGGUAUUCAGUCGUGGCACCACAGAUAUGGACAUCUAAAUUUUAAAAGUUUGAAACUUUUAGCUAAAGAAAAUAUGGUGCUUUGCCUUUUUGGAAAGCAUGUUGAUGAAAUCCAUGAGAAUUGUAUACUUGGAGAGCAACAUCGAGAUAACUUUUUUUUUUUCUUUUUUUAUAAUGCAUUGUUUGUCCAAAUUCCGUACAAAUUAGGCCACCACAUGUUCAUAAUUCUCCCUUCUUGAAUUUGAAAACUCGGACAAUUUGACAAUGCGACACCUAAGUCCGGUUUUUAAAUGCUAAAGUGAAAGGGCAGGUAUGGACCAUUGAAAUGUGAUAACAACUUUUGGCCUUUUCCUUUUCUCUGUAGCCAUGUUGUCUCUUUUUAAUUUCUUUUGCAUGAUUUUCUUACCUAAACAGAAUCAUAGACUUGUUUAAUCUCUAAGUGGGAUUUCAUCCACCUUAAGCUACUGUAUUAUAUCUCGGUGGAGGACAACCGACAUAGAGCACAUGCAAGUGGGUAUAUGGGACAUGAAAUAUCUUCUUAUAAAGCUUGUUUUGCAGUUAAAUUAAUUGGAUAAGUAGACACUGGCGUUUCUAAAUUUCCCACCUAAGAUAAUGACCUUAUCCUUGACUGCUAGAUACACAAACAAUUAUACCUUCAAAAUCUACUGUGAAGUGCUUCAUGUAUGUGUGAAGUAUUAGAAAUUUCUUUCUUGGCAACUUGUUUUUUUCUUUGCGGUCUACUGAUAGGUUUGACUAAAAUUAUAUUCCCUGUCCUGCUAAUUAAUUUUCACGUGCAUGCUCAAAAGAAGAGUAUGACCUUAGUGCACCAAAAUCACUUUCAAUAAUUUGUGAUAAGUUUUUUUGCAUGACAUUAACCUUAUUCAUUUAGAUAAUGUUUAGUUCUCAUAAAUAUUAAGAAAAUGAAAAUAAAUAUUAAGAAAAAUAUUCUUAUAUUUGAUUGUAUUAUGAAAAAUAUCAUAAAAAAUCAAAUAUAAUUAAAAUUAAUUAAUAAUUUAUAUAUUUUAAAAUUAUUUAAUUUUUAUAUUAAAGAUAUAAUAUAAAUGAAAUGAGUUUUAAGUAUUAUAUAAAAAUGAUUUAUUUAUUUAUUUAUAUAUAUAUAUAUAUAUAUAUUUAGUUUUUCUCUUUAUUUUAUUUUCCUUAUGUUUUCCUCACAUUUUCCGGAAUCAAAGAUAGGGAAAUCCACAAUUACCUUCAACUGAGUAGAUUCUAUUGUUUUAGCAAUGUUAGGCUGCUAACUUGUGGUGGUACGAACCAAAUGAUCCAUGUUAAUCUUGGCUUGAUUUAAUUUGGCUCUAUCUCAGAGAACUCAAGGAUCACGUCAACUCUGGUUUCUACUAUUCAGGUCCAUUCCCAGAUGAACUGGUUCAAAUUUGAGAAAAUGGUAACAGACCUUUAGUGAUAUUGGUUUGGAGCCAGUUGCCAAACCUGCCCUGAGCUUUACCACUAAUGUCAAGGGACAAAGCCAUUUGAACAAAAACAAUAGCUUCAAGAGACUGAAUCGUGGAUGAAAUCUGAUCCACAUUUCUUCUCAUUUUGGGAAAAAAUGAGGACUUAACCACAAAGAUUCUACUGCCUCAUAGUGCUUUUCCUGAUCUAAGGUUGGCUCGUUUCCCAAAUUGUGAGGUGCACGUGCCACUCUCACGCUCAGGAGUGUAUCCACGUGGUGGACAUAAGAUGGUGGCUUAAUAUCUGGUGUCGGUGGCUUUACUUUACUAGGAGAGUAGUGUGUCUUCAUCUCAUUCACUGCCAGAGGGUGGCGUAAGCAGUGACGCUAAGGUGGGGCACAGUCAAUAUCAUUUGCAUUUGACCAUUAUAAUUUUCUCCCGGCUUUAAAGUAACCUUAUCGUGAUAAUGGAUUACUAGCACUAGUUCAGAUGACAGUCAUGUUAAAUUCGGACCAUGUUUGUGUCACAUUAUCAGCAACCAUGUGCUUGUGGUUCAUGCUAUCUGCAACUAAACUUGAUAUAUAACCAGGUGAACUUCAAUCUAAAUUCUGGAAGUACUCAUGUGAUAGAUGGUGCCUGUCUGCAGUGAGUGUAUCUAUAAGAGGGAAGGCUUGGCAAAUGUUCAGUUUUCUGGGAAUUCAACAGGGAUCUAAAAUAGAUUGUUUUCUUUGCUGAUUUCAAUGGUUGAAAUUUGAGAAGAUUGUGUCCACAUAACACAACUAUUACUGGUCCUUCUGUUGCAAUUUAUCCUCUAAGGCUCUAACAUGUCUUCCAAUUCCCACUUCCCACUUCCCUGUUACUCCAGGAAAGCUGUUUCUGUCAUUGUGAAGAAGAAAAGAGACUGUACAUAUCGAUGCUUUUAAGUGGACUGGAGAAUUCAUAUCAGGUGGUCUGCAGCCAUACAUGCCACUUUGUGAAGGUUGGAACAGUCAAUCACUAGGCUAUAUUAGUGGGGCCCAGCCACUUCAAUCAAGGACAAGUCUUCAUACUUAAAGUCAAAUUCUGCCUUUAGUCUCAUUAUAAAUUGCUGUUUAAAUAUCAAGCAAACAUUUGUUUAAUGCGAUUAAGACAGCACUAACUCAAUACUUGUUCUAUUUUUGGAUGCAAAUGCUUGAUAGUUUCAUCAUUGGAGGGGAUAAAGGUGCAUUCAUGAUUAUGAAUACUUGUAGUUAUAUUUUCAUUCUCUUUUUUCUCAAUGGGACUUGUUGGCACAAUUUUGCUGUUCAGAAACCUACCUCUCCAUGGAAAAUCAGUUGUGAUUGAUAUUACUGGAUAUAUUCAAGAAAGCUAAAUGUAGAUAGCACAAAAUAUUAUCGACAUAAAUAGCAUUAACAGCGUACGUAUGUCUCAAUGCUCAUCAGCUAUAAGCAAGGGGCAAACACUUACUAUGAGCAACUUACGUCAAAAUUCCGGAAUAGGACAUAGAAGUGACAGGUCAGUAAAUAUAGAACACUGCAUAUGAGUCACAAGAAAGGAAAUUACGGGUACAUAGCAGCUCUUAUUUUACAUCCUACUCAUACUGAUCAAAGUCACUCAGUUGGGAUGGGUGGGAGUGGGAGGUUUGUGGGGUGGCUUGUGCGGAGGAGUUGGCAGCUUCUUUCCAGGACCUGGUUGCUUCUCUGCUGGAGUUGAAGGAGGCUUAAUCUUCCGAGGUGGCUUGUAUGAGUCUUCAGCAUUCUCAGCAGGAGGGUGACCAGGGUUGUGACCACAAUGUGGUGGCUUCUCUCCCUUAGGUGGUUUGCCAACUGGGGUUGGUGGCUUGUGUUCCGGAAGUGGCUUCUCUUUGUGUUCAGGAGGUGGCUUCUCCACUGGAGGCUUGUGUUCAGGAGGUGGCUUCUCCACCGGAGGCUUGUGUUCAGGAGGUGGCUUCUCCACCGGAGGCUUGUGUUCAGGAGGUGGCUUCUCCACCGGAGGCUUAUGCUCUGGUGGUGGCUUCUCCACCGGAGGCUUAUGCUCUGGUGGUGGCUUCUCCACCGGAGGCUUAUGCAAUGGUGGUGGCUUCUCCACCGGAGGCUUGUGUUCAGGAGGUGGCUUCUCUACCGGAGGCUUAUGCUCUGGUGGUGGCUUCUCCACCGGAGGCUUAUGCUCUGGUGGUGGCUUCUCCACCGGAGGCUUGUGUUCAGGAGGUGGCUUCUCCACCGGAGGCUUGUGUUCAGGAGGUGGCUUCUCCACCGGAGGCUUGUGCUCUGGUGGUGGCUUCUCCACCGGAGGCUUAUGCUCUGGUGGUGGCUUCUCCACCGGAGGCUUGUGUUCAGGAGGUGGCUUCUCCACCGGAGGCUUAUGCUCUGGUGGUGGCUUCUCCACCGGAGGCUUGUGUUCAGGAGGUGGCUUCUCCACCGGAGGCUUAUGCUCUGGUGGUGGCUUCUCCACAGGAGGCUUGUGUUCAGGAGGUGGCUUCUCCACCGGAGGCUUAUGCUCUGGUGGUGGCUUCUCGAAUGGGGGAUGCGUAGGGUAAUCAGCUAGUGAGGGGGCGGUGAGAACCACCAGGCCAAGCAACACUACUAGCAAGUAUGUAGGAGACAUCUUUGGGUUUGGGCUCAGAUGGUGCAAAACUAGGAGAAUUGGCUAGCCUUUUAUAGCGGAUCGUACCCAAUAAUGAAAUGACACGUGUCAUUAUGACCCAUGUGUCAUGUGGUCGAUUUGGGUCCUACAGUGUUGAAAACUUCGACAUCCACUUUUUUGGCCUUUUGCUUUCUCUACAGUCGCCUUGCUUUUUCCCUCUUUUCUUUUGUUUUCCUCCUGCCCCAUUCUAUCAACUAAUCACAAUUAUGUAGUUGUUUAAUUCUUAAAUGAGAUAUUAUCCGUCAAUCAUAUUAUCUUUUAUCAAGAGAGAACGGAGUGAAAAGUGGCAAUCCAAAGAAAGAAGAUCCAUAAUGCAGCUGUAAUUUUAUCGUUUACUUUUAUCUCUAGGACCACUGCAUUUUUGUUGAGAGGUGCAAUAAUACACGUCUUUAUCUGCCAUUCAAUGUUUACAGUAAAGAGAGGGCACAAAACUCUUCACUGCUCUGCAUGUGCCCCAAAAAUGCAAUUGGACAAAUUAUGAUUUGCAUGCUAAAAAGAGGCAAAUGAGGUUAAUUAGCACCAAAAUUAUUUUGUUUUCUGGACACCCCGGGGCCCUUUGGUUGGUUUGGGGGUCAGAAAAUGAACAUCAUAGGGGGUUUUUCCCUAAUGUGCAUUUGCAUUUGUAUCUGAUGGCUUUAACUCGCCUUGUUACUACAAAGAAAUUGUCACAGAUAGGAACUUAUUCCAGGCUGAGUAUCUCCGCAUGGACCCUAUAAAAGAAGACAAGUCAUAAUGAACAUCUAACCUUUGUUCAAUUUGAUUCAAUGCCCCUAUUGUGUCCAUCUCACAAAUCUGAAUUAUUAUAUCCAUUGAAUACAUAAAUUAAUGAAGAAAAUAUGAAACCCAAGAUACAUCUCUGCACAACCUCAACCCUGGUUGCUAUGUUUCACUUCUAUUCACAUGAGGAUAUUGAUUACGGAAUAAGGAAACCUAGCAAGGGUUUACUCGGCUCUGGUUUGAUGCUAAUUGCCAAACUUGCAACAAGCCCUGAGUUUGACACCUAAUCGAUGGGCGAAUUAAAAGUCUCCUCCAAACAUAUAUUCCACAGCUUGAAGCUCACAGAAGAUGCUAUACAGGCAGGGAAAAACCUUCAGAGUUAGCUACCAAAGAUAAUUAUCAAGGAGAUAUCACCAAGAGAAUUCCAUGGAGUCUGAAUCAAAGACAAAUUGCUCGCUCGUGGGGGUUCUUACUUAAUUUCUUUUGGGUAUAACUCACUGAGGGCACUGGCUUUGUUAUUUGCAUUUCGCAUUUAGAGUUCUGUUCUGGAAGGUUUGUUCUGGAAACAUAUAAAAGGAGCAUCAUUUUGUUCUAGGGUAACCCAUAGUUGUGAGUGGGUCCAUUUGCAUGCUACUUAGUUGAAAAGUUGGACAAUUUGCUCCGACGCCUACCUCCUGGAUUCCAUGCUCGGAUAAAGCAAGAAUAAUAAAAUAUUUAUAAUUUACAAAUGGGGGAAAGAAAAAAAUGUCAACAACAAACUAGGAAAAAAGAGUAGUAAAAUUUAUGCCACAUGCUAUUGAUAGAAGGGGCAUGUAUUAGAUCCAUCACCAUUUGGUAAGAUUUUAGUAUUAUAUUUUUCAAGGUUCAUUAUUUGAGGGUGUGUUCUUCAUCUCUGUUGCAUUGCUUCUUACUAGGCCCACUGAGGUGGGUUCUUCACCUUUUGUAUAUUCUCUGCACUAGAUCAAUGAGAAAGGGGGAAUUUUGGUGAAUUUGCAGCCGUUGGAUGAUUGAUUCUAGGCUCAGUCCACCAAUGAUGCUCUCUUCACUCUUUCUCAUCUAGUGUCAUUCACAACUAUGUUUUGAUUCAUAUUUGUACUAUCAAAGAUAUCUCAUUAUUCUAGCUCAUUAGGUAGAGUUCCUAAUCUUCCUCCUUUUUGGUCUAUGGACAGUAUUGGCUUCAUAUUAAGAUCAUGUUUCAAUAAUUGCACAUUAAUGAAUGGAUCAUGACCCACAUAAACAGAGUCAGGGUUGAGUCAGUGAACCCUAAAAUUUCACAAUUCUAAAUUUGGGUUCUUUAACAAUGCAGGGUCAAGGACGCGUGGUGAUGAAGGAAAGCUGGUAAGCUCAGUGUUACUUCAAUUCCUGCCAUGUAGGAUGGUGAGGAGAUAUUCACUAUGCAAUUAAUAAUAGACAAUAUUCACUAUGCAAUAAUAAAGCAUAAAUUAAGUUGAAUGAAAAGCAUUUUCUUUGCAAGGAGUUGAUUUUGGUUUCAUAGUUUGUUCAACUGCUAUUUUGGAUAGGAAAGUGUGAGGAGAAGAAAAUAAAAAAUAAAAAUAAAACAAAAAAUAAAAAAUAGAUUUUAUAAAUUCAUUUAAUUUAUUUUUUUUUUAUAAAAAUUAACUAAUUUAAAAUAUAUGUAAAUUUCUAAUUAAUUUAAUUACAUUUUUUUUUUCAGUUUUUCAUAAUAAACCAAAUAUUAGAAAAUUAUUUUUAUUAAGACACCCAAGAUGAGGUAAUAUGCAAUGAAAACAUGAAUUAUAUUAAAAUUCAAAACAAAUUAAGAGAAAUCGGAAAAUAUACAUAGAUAUCUAAACAAAGAAAUUUAAAGAGAAGGAACCACAAACUUUAUUUACAUAAUUUGAAAAUAAAAAACAUAAAACAUACUUAUAGUAAGGAGAAAUUGAAUAUCUUACAAUGGAAGAAGGGAGAAAAGCUUUGAAGAAAGCUUUUGCUUGGAAGCUUACAUGGUGAGAGGUAGAGAAAGGAGAGAGAGAGAAGAAAAUGAAAAAUGAGAAGUGGAGAAAAUUGGAAGUUUUGUGUGCUUACAACUGAGGAUAGAGCCUCCUUAAAUAGCAAAAAAUGGAAUAUUAAAUAGUACCAAUCAGGAGACAAAAUAUUGUUUGCUUUUGAAACCCGUGCAUGAAUAGUAAUCCCGUGAGUGAAUAGUGAAUAAUAAAAGUGAAUAGUAAAAGUCACUUUCUACUAUAGCACUUUAGACUUUUUCAUCGAGAAUCUUACUUUCGGCUGAGUGAUGAUAGCUGAUAGGUUGCUUUGGAUUGUGGAGUCAUAUGUUUGAUGUUUUCGGUGCUGAAACCGCUUAGUUGGAGAAUAAUCUCGUCAGUAGAGCAUCAUGAGAAGCUUGAAUGGAGAGAGCUUAAUGAUGCCAUAUGAUUGGAAGGAAUCCUAUUUUAAUUUCCUUAUUGGAGGGAGAAUACCCUCACAAUCAUCUUCAUUAUCUUGAAGGUAGUUUGAUAUAGAGUCAUCUGACUCAGCAUAAGAGUCCUCUUGGGAGAAGCUUGAACUGCUUUUGUCAAGGAUUUUCUGAAAUUCUUGAGGGGUUUUUGCUAUUGCUAACAUGGUUUGGAGUUGCUGUUUCUUAAGAAGAAACUGUGCAAUAUCAUAAGAUGAUGAAGCUUGUGUAGGAUGCUUUAGGAAAUAUUGCUUUAUUGCUUGUAGUGAGGUAUCAUUUUUCAAGGCAUCCCACCACUUAGACUUGAAAGUCCUUCCAAGGGUUGGAAAGGCUGCUGAUUCAUCUGCUAUAAUGAUAUAAUCCCACUGGACUAUCCAGGCAAGGCCAAAUUCACUAAAAAAGAAUAAUAAUUGGGGAAAACUGAAAGUUCUCUAGGGAUAACAAAAGAACUUUGGAAUAGCUCAAAGCCAUCCAAAAUGGGUUUUGGGAGAAUUUUAAUAGUUGGACCAAAAUAUGUCCACCAAUUGUGGAACCAAAAUGGAAAAGAGGGGAGUUGAUGCUUAGAUGGGAAAUAGAACAUCCCUGAAUGAUGGAAGUCCUUGUUCUGGAUCAGAAAAGCAUUGAACCAUACUCUUUGGUAGUCUCAAUAAUUGAAAAUUUUAGGUUUUGAAGGCUUAGAAAAUUCUCUUGAAAAAUUAGGAUUCCCACCCCACUGCUUAACUGUAAGGAUUUUAUAAAUAUGGUAAGUGGAGAAUGCCAAAUCCAAAUUGCUGAAUUUAUCAGCAUUGUGCUUGAUUUUAACAGAGCCGGUUUCCAUAAGGAUUGCUUCAUAAAAUUCUCUUGUUUUUAAAAGAUCACCAAAGGGAUAAUGAAAAUUUUCAUGAAAAGCUUUUGCUGCAAUAUCUCUAGGGUUUUUAGAGAAAAACUCUUUUUCAAUAACCAAAAGAGGUUGAUUUAAAUCUUUUUGCCAAUAUCUUGCUUUUGCUGAAAGAGGUGUGGGGUUGGCUACCACCACAAUUUGCUUAUUUGAAAAAGAAGAGCUUGAUGCUAAUUCAUUUUGAGAGGGAUUAGCUUUAGUAACCUGCUUAAAGGUCUGAGACACAGUAAUAGUUGGAUACUGAGUAGCCUUGACUGGUUUAGAAGGAUUCGAAGGAUCAUAGUACAAGGACAAAAUCUUAUUAGGCAUAUGGUCAGAAGAAUGAAGCCUUGCUUCUUCUUCUAGCUCAACUUGUUGGCUCCAAAGUAUUUUAUGGGGAGAAGGUUCUUUGCUGGUUUUAGAAGACUAGGAUUCUGGAAGUUUAGGAGCUUGGGUAUUCUUUUUAGGGGCCAUGGUUUCGUGAAUCCUGUAAAAUUCACAAGUUAAGAAAUCAGGGCUCGAAGAAUGUUCUCCUUUAAUAUACUCAAUUUGUAAAUUAAAAUUGCUUAAAAUAGCUUGAUAUAUAGCAAAAAUAUGCUUAGAAGUUAUAUUCUUAACAUCCUUUUGUAAAACUAAUUUUGCAAAUUUACAAUCAACUCUUAAUAAAAACUUUUGAUUCAAAAGAUCAUCUUGAAAUUUUGAAAUGCAUAAAACAACGCUUAAAGUCUCUUUUUUAAUGAUGUUAUGAAUGAGUUGGGUAGUAUUCCAGGUUCUUGAAGUAUACCUAACUAACAUCUCAAGGUUACCAACACUUUGCUUAAGAAUCCCACCAUAACCUAUGUCUGAGGUAUCGAUCCCAACAAACUCAAAGGUUUCUGGAUUGAUAGAGCCUAAACAUGGUAGGGUCUUGACUUUGGACUUAACAUCAAUAAUGAAAACAAUGGUGAAAACAGAAAACUGGUUAAAGUUUUCAUCCAUUAUAUUCUGGAAUUCUGAGGUGCAUUCUUAAGAUCAAAGGGCAUUAUGAACCAUUCAUAAUGUCCAAGAGAUACCACAAAGGUGGUCUUAUUUGGAAUAGGACACCUAAUCCAACUUAAUGUAUCAUUAAGAGGCAUGUAGUUGACGACUAGUCUAGGUGUUCCUUUUUCUGAUUCAACUUGUUCCUGAACAUAGAAGGUUGAACAACUCCAAAGGGACUUAGACUUCCUUAUCAACUUUUUAUCAAGAAGAUCCCAAAUCUCCUUAUCACAAUAGCUUAACAAACCCUUGUUCAUCUGGAUAGGUCUUGAUUUAGUGGGAAUAUUCUUGUCACUAAAGUCUAGUUCAUAAGGUAAUUCUACCUCAUGUUGUUUCCUAUGCCAAAAUGCAUUAGGAAUGUUAGAGCAAACUUCUUCAACAAUCAGAUUAAUUUCUUGCUCAUGACUUUCCUUAGCUUGAAUCACCUGAUCCCUUAAGGUGUUUAUAUUUUUCUUAUUAGGUGGUUGGCAAAUUCAAAAAUAAUUUCCUUAUCUAAGAGCUUUGUUCUUAUACUUUGGUCAUCUACCCACAUGGGAUAGAUGGAGCUUAAAAAGGGGAUUCCAAGGAGAGCUUUCUCCUUAAGAUCCUUAACUAGAAUGAAGGUUUGCUUGAUGCAAAUGCCUUGGUUAUUUAUGUGAGCAUCUGACAGCUUAUACUCAAUGUCAAGCCUUUUACCAUUAGCUCCAAAGAGAGAUUCUUUGGUUUUCUUACAAAACUUAAUAGGACCUAGACCUUCUUGUAGGCAAUUCAAAGCUGUUCCUGAAUCAAUCAAAGCAACAAUAUCAAUGACAAAUUUACUCUUAAUUACUAUAGUAAGGGAGACUUUCCACCUCUGGAAAAUAACCCUACUAACAGUAUUUAAGUAUCCAUCCGUCUUUUCAUCAUUAGCAUGUGAAGAUUCUAGAACCUCUUCAAGGUUUUCCUAGUUAUCAACAAGAUUUUCUAUAACAAUCCUAUUUAUUUGUUCUUGGAGAUCUGAAAAACCUAAGCUUGUGUAUUGUCUUAAAUCUUUAAUUUCCUUCUUAUACUGUCUUACUUCUUCUUGAAGAUCCUUAAUGGUUACGUCUUUGGUAGACUACUGGUUAAAUCUUCCUAAGAUUUCAUUUAAGUUAUAAGAAUUUACUGUCUUCUUAAUCUCUUGCUUAUCGACAAAUUUCUUAAAAACUUCAUAAAGAUCUUGUUUAGUUUUUUCAUCUUCAACUUUCCUUAAAACAUCUAGGACAAGUUCUUGAUCUUGGCUUAUGACAUUUAUAGUCUUAGGUUGGCAAUCACAAUUAUCCUUAAUGUAUUCUUCUUGGUCACUAGAAGUUUGGCUUGAGAUUUCCUCACCACUACUAUCUAGUUGGUUAAUACCAUUUUCAUUAUCUGAAUCAAUCCUUGAUUCAGACUCUGUGGAAUUUAACAUUACUUUACAAAGCAUAUCUUUUAAGUCUUCUGUGACAUUUAAGUUAUUAAUUUUCUGCUUAACCCUACAAUCUUUCUUAUAGUGGCCUAUCUUACCACACUUAAAACAAACUGGCUUAGAUUGUGAAGGAGCUUCUAGCUUUUUAUGGGCUUCUUUGUUCAUCAUUCUUUGGAUGUGCCUUUGUUUCUUAGUUUCAUUCAUCCUAUAGUUGCCAUGAGUUCCUCUCUUGUUGUGAUAGGACUUUUCCUUACUAGGCUUUGUACUUACUUGUUUCUUACGUUGCUUAGAGGGGGGCUUAGUUUCUUUUUGGUUGAAUCCAAACUAGCUACAAAAUGAACCAAACUCAUUCUUGUAGAUCCUUUGUUCAUUUUUCAUCUGUUGCUUAAGCUUAAAGUCAUUGCACAGUUUAAUUGCUUCUGAUGUGACAAUGCUUAUAAUUUCUCCAUAAGAAAGCUUAUCAUAAGGGAUUUGUCCAUUAAACUGUUCCCUUAUCUUAAUCCUAAUCCUCUCAGAGAAAAGUCUAGGUAGUCCUAAGAUGAAUUUUUCUUUCCAAAAAGACUGGUUAUAGUUUGAUCUUAGUAUGACUUUGGUUAGGAAAACUUCUCUAUACCAUCUAAAGUCAUGAAGCUUGGGACACUUAAGGUUGGUUAAGAGAUCUACAAUCUUAUCCUUAAUCUUUGCAGGAUCUCCAAUGAAGUGCUUUGAAAUUGAAUAGAUUAGAGUAGCCACUACAUCCUCUAUAUCUUGUCCAUCUUCAUCCUUAACCACUUCAUUUUCCUCAUUAAUCCUAUAGGCUUUUAGGAUACCAUUUCUAUCCUCAAAGGUGAGAUAAUUAUCCCACCAACCCUAAAGUUGACCUGUAAACCCAACAACAAUUGUUUGAGCUACAGCAUGGCCUGACAAUCUAUUGUUUAACUUAUAGGUUGUACUAACCAUGGUCAUUUCUUGAAGCUUAGUGAGUAUGUUGUACUCAAUCAUACCAUCUAUGUUCCAUUCAUAGAUAGUGUCACUAGUGUAGGAAGCUUGAGUAUGCUGGUUUCUUUCCUCAUACUACAUAUCAGGAAAAGUUGGUCUAGGGUAGUAAUUCCUAGUUCUUGGUUGUUGAUAAUCCUCAUAACUGUUUGGUUAGGAGGUUCCUUAAAAAUCUUAAUUAGUUCAUCAGCCUCUGCUUCAGAACUAAUUUCUCCUUUAACCAUAUUGAUUCUCUUGUGAGAUGGUUGAGGUGUCUCAGAGACAACAAGGCUAUCCUUAACCUUUUGGCUUAUCCUAUCAAUGAGGGCUUGAUCAAUAUGGAGAUUCUCUAGGAAUUUCUUAGAGAAUUCAAAAGGCUUAAAUAAAGACUUAUUAUCUUUCUUAACAAACGUAGUCUUAAUGUAGUCUUGUGUUUCAAUGAUAUCCUCAAACUUGUUGAGUUGAUCGCCUGUAGUCUUAAGAAACAUGUUAGUGUAGUUGUUUUGUUCCAUGAUUCUUCUAACGUCAACAACACUAUCAAUUCCUUUAUUCUUUGGCCUAGUCUUAAAAGGUGAAGCUUUGACUAUGGUUCAAUUAAUGUUCUUUUAUAUCUUAGCUUCUAGAGGGUGGAUGGAUUCUAUGAUAGUAUCGUCACUAGUUUUCCAUAUCUUAGUUUUUUUGGAUGUGUCAUUGACACGCUUACUAGGGUAAUCUAGAUAUUCCUCUUGUUUGAAGAGUUCAAACCAGAUCCAAUACUUAAUGUUCUUCUUUUCUUGUCUUAAGUAUGUGUAGAAUUCUUCUUGGUAGAGGGUUCUAAUGUCUUUAAGGACCUUGCUAAAGAACCAAACUCUCCUUUUCUUAUUGACUUCAGAAUAGAAGUCUUUCCUUAAGAGGUCCUUGUUGAUUCAAAGUCUUCGUUAAUUAGGCUUACAGUGUUAAUCAACUGAGAAUAAGUAGGAGACAUAUCAGGAGAUUCGUCCUGAUGUGAUUCUUGAGUAAACUCAUUUUCCUCCAUGUAAAAGGGUUUGGCCACGUUGGUGUGACUUCUAACACCUGUUAGCUUAAUAUUCUUAGGAUUUGCUGAACUAGAUCCUUCCUCUAUCCUAGUGGUUCUUAUUGGGAUAGAUGAACUUGAAGCUCUAGAGGGCUCAUAAUAUGAAAUUCUAAGGCUGCUAGAAUGAUGAAAAGAGUUGGAGAAAAUUAGAUCUCGUUCUCCAUCAGGAUAUUGAACAAUCUGUUCAAUUCUUUCAGAUCUUUGCUCUAUGGCUGGGACAACAUUAGCAAAAUGCCAAUUUUCUGGAAACUCAACCUCAUUCCACUUGAUUUUCAUGGGGACUAUGAAAUUAGACUUGUUUAUCAUAUCUAAGUGGAAGAUAGUGGUUUCACCCUUGGGACUGGUGCACAAUGCUCCAAAUCCAACGCUUAUGGUCAUGCUCUUAUAGGCAAAUCUGGUGAUGAUGGAAACAUGAUUGUUUCCUUGCUUGAACUUAAAGUCAUGGGUCUUAACAUGAAGGACAACUGAAUCUAAGAUGUUGACAUCUCUUAGUCUAACUGUGAAGUUAGGGAAACACUGGAAAUAAACAGGACCAUCAUUUAAUCCUGCUUGGGUAGCUCCAAUAAUAGAAUCUCGGUAAUCAAGAUGUCUAUUAUCUCUUAAACACAUGACAAUAAAGGUGUUUAGACCUAGUCUUGUCAAGGGCUUAGCUGCAACUUGAAUCAUGCCAAAGUGUAUGAAGUUGUAGUCUCGCUUAUGCUUAUCAAUGGACUUACUAUCCAAGAGUCUUAUGACUUGAUCGUCGUGUUCUAAACUUACUGACAUUUCAGGGGUUUUAAUGGUGUAAUCUGUAAAGAACUUAAAGGUUCCUUUCUUAUAAAUUUCUUGAUUAGGUACCUUGGGUAACUUCCAAUCAUCUAAAUCAUCUUGGAUCUUAGGAUAAUUGAUCUCUUCAUUGUUUACUCUUGAGAAUUUGUGGAUUUCCUAGACAUGGUUCUGAAAAUCAAACUCAUUUUAAGGUUUUAAUCUAGAGCCUAAUAGCAGAUUAACAGACCUAGUGAGUAAUCACCCCAACCCUUUUCCAACCUUAACAAACGCCUAUCUCCAGCUAACAAUGGGCUCAACUCGGCAAGGAUCGCACUCAGGCACACUACUAUCUUUCCUAGGAUAGAUCAAAACACCCAAAACAAACCCGACUUCCUUUUCCUAGGAUAUAUAUAGUAUUUUGGGUUUGAGUAGGAGUUCAUGUUUUGUAUGUAAUUGUAGUCUACGUUGGACUAGGUUGUUUGCUCCUAAUUGAAAUAGGAAUGGUUGGUGUCACAUCUCAUUCAUUUUCUCAUCUAUUUCCAUGUUUAGAUAACUCAAGUAAUCAUAGGAAUGAAAUUAAGAAUGAUUUGAGGGAAAUGAAAUCUCACUUGUAAGUGGGAUCUCAAUUCAUCAUUAAUAGAAGGUAUUUUGAUUACAUAGUGCAAGUUAUUUUUAAAAACACUUUUCAAAAAUUGAAAAACCAAAAACUCUCUUGGAUAAGUUGUUUUUAAAAAGAAUUUUUGUAUUUUUAUUUUGUAAAAAAAAAAAAUAGUAAUUCAAUUUAUAUAAUAUAAAUAGACUUUAAUUUUAUUAAAAAUAAAAAUAAUUUUUUAAUUACAAAUAAAUUAAAAAAUAAAUAUUUGUAAUAAAAUAUGAAUAGUAAUAUUAUAAUAAAAUCAUAAAUAAAUUAAAAAUAUUUUUAAAAACAAAUAAGUUUAAUUUUUUUGAGGUACAAAUGAGCCAAAUUUUUCAUUAGGUACACAACCAACAAUUUUUAUUGGAAACAUUCCUCAAAAAAGAAUUCGUUUCCCAUAUAGCAAAGAUAUUUAUUAUUUAGUAUCUAACCAUCCGUAGUAAUCAUAUCAAUUCUACUAAGUUAUUUAAUAAUUCAUUUAUAUAUAGUACUCAAUUAUGAAUUUUUUUAUUUGAUGUAUAAUUAAUUAAUCAAUGUUUUGAAUUUUGAAUUAUUCUUAAAAUUUAAAACAUUAAUUAUGUCUAUUACUUUUUAUAGUCAUUAUAUAUAUAUAUAUAUAUAUAUAUAGAGAGAGAGAGAGAGAGAGAGAGAGAGAGCUUAAAUUUAUCUUUAAAAAUUAUUAAAUUUAUUAAUAAAUUCAAUACAAAGACUCAUUUGAUUUGAAAUUCAUUUCUUUAGUGAAAAUUUUGAAACUAAAUAGUACUUUGUUUUACUUUGUUUUUAAAUCAUACUCACAAAUAAGUUUUUAUCAUUUAGCCAAAAAAUCUCAAAGAUGUUUCUAAUUUUAUUUAUUUAUUUAUUUGUAAAUGAAAAUAAAAAAUUAGUUUAAACUAAAUAUGCGGAUAUUAUUGUUAAUUUAUUUCAUUUUUUAUUUCCAUUGUUAUUUAACAUUGAAACGGAAACAAAUAAUCAUUCCAAUCUUACAUUCUUAUAUGCAUCUAAACACAAGAAUUGAAAUCACCAAAUUCAUAUUCAAGGCAAAAUAGAAAUGGAAAAAAAAUAUUCAUUUUCAUUCCUCAUUCUCAUGUGCUAAACAUGACAUUAGUUCUACUACCUAUUUCACCAUUCUUCUUGAUAAAUUUGGUAUAUGCAAUAUUGAUCUAAGUGUGAGGUGAAUAAGAAUGAUGAUGGGAUGGGCUUGGAAAUAAGGGCAAAGUUUCUAGGUGCUAUCUAGAGGGGCAACGCGACUUUUUCAAAUUUCGAAUAUUUGUUCUCAACAUAAAGCAAAACUUUACUCACACAAUAGAUAAGACUCUGUUUGUUUUCUUCAUCCACGACUAUAUAAUGUAUAGCUCUUACUCAAGGGAUGAGCUACUUACUAUUAAGGAUUGGGUAAGAUAUUGCCUAAUGGCCAAGAAGGCAUGUCAAAAAAUAAAUCUAAUCACCAUAAAAAAUAAUAGGGGAAAAUUAAUAUAUUAUGAAUGAUGACUUUACUAUUUCUCUAUAUACAUAAUUAUAUAUUUUGAAUUUUCUCACUAGGUAAUGAGAUUCUAAAUCAACUGAAACAUAAUUAAUAAUUUAUAUUUUUAAUGAAUCUUUUAAUUUUUAAAAAUAAUUUAAAAUUUUAAAAAACAAUUCAAUUAAUUACAUAUUAAAUCAAAACAUUUCAAAAUAUUGUGUUUGUAGAUGAGUACUAAAUGCUUGCAUAUAAUAAUAAUAAUAAAAAAAUUGACUCAUUUAGAUGUUAAAAAAGUUAAAUGUUUUUCAUUAUUCAUUUUAAGUAAAAUAUUAUUGACAUUAUUAUUAUAAAAUUAUUAUUAUUCAUUUUUAACAAAAAACAAAAUAAGUUAUUCUUUUACCAAGAUGUCAAUAUCUAUAUUUUUCUAACAUAUAUUAAAAUAGUAUACUUUUCUUUUAUUAAAAAUAAUAAUUAUUAUUAUAUUAUUAUUCAAGUUUUAUUAAAAAAAUUUAUCUUUUAAUUCAUUUGUAAUUACAAAAUAAUUUUAUUUUAUUAAGAAUUUAAUUUAAUUACGCUUUUUUUUUUUAUAAAAAAAACAGUUAUGCUUUUACCAAGAUGUUAAUAUUCAUAUUUUUCUAGCUAACAUAAAUAGAAUAGUACACUUUUUCAUAUAAAAAAAUAAUUUAUGAUUUUAUUAUAAUGUUACUAUUCACAUUUUACUAAAAAUAUUUAUUUAUUUUAUUUAUUUUUAAUUAUAAAAUAAUUUUAUUUUCAAGAAUUUAAUUUUAAAAAAAUAGAAAUCAUUUAUUCUUUUACCAAGAUGUUAAUAAACAUAUUUUUCUAACAUAUACUAAAAUAAAAAAGUUUACUUGUUCAUUAAAAAAUAUAAUUUAUGUUUUUAUUAUAAUACUACUAUCUAUGUUCUACUAAAAAUAUUUAUUUAUAAUUAAAAAAUAAUUUCAUUUUUAAUAAGACUUGAACUAAAUUAAAUUUAUAAUUUUUUUUUAAAAUAAAAUAGAAAAUUAUUUUUUAAAAACAACUUAUUGAAAGAAAUUUUUUAUUCUUUACUUUUAAGAACUGUUUUUAAAAGCAACCUAUAAACCCCUUUGGGUCUGUUUGGCUAUGUUUCAUGCAACUUGUUUUUAAAAAUUGUUUUUUAUUCUUUAAUUUAAUUUUUUUUAAGUUAAAGAAUAAAAAACAACUUUCUAGUGUUUUAUAAAAAUGAGAGCUUUUGACAAGUUGUUUUUAAAAACCAUUUUUAAAAAUAAAAAAUAAAAAACUUAUUUAGAUAAAUUGUUAUAUAUAUAUAUAUAUAUAUAUUUGUAAAAACAUUUUAAAUUCAAUUUAUAUAAUAUAAAUUUAAUUUAAUUUAAGUCUUAUUAAAAAAAAAUUGUUUGGAUAAGUUUUUUUUUUUAAAUAGUUUAUUAUUUUUGUUUUGUAAAAACAUUGCAAAUUCAAUUUAUAUAAUAUAAAUUAAUUUAAUUCAAGUCUUAUUAAAACCAAAAUAAUUUUAUAAUUACAAAUAAAUUUAAAAAUAAUUUUUUUAGUAAAACAUGAAUAAUAAAAUUAUAAAUUAUAUUAUUGUGGACCCUGCAUUUAUGCUCAUGCGCUUCCACUUGUUGGCGAACUCAUUUUUUAUUUGAAAAUGAUUUAUUUUUUUAGAAAAUGACUUAGAGUCGCCACUUAUUUUUGUUUUAUUUUUAAAGGGCAAGCAAAAUAAGAAAGAAAACCCUAAGUGUGACUCCUUAUUCGAAAAAGGUAGUCUGUGUAAAACCGGAUCAGGGUUCAGGGAUCAGGUUACUUAUUGGGAAGGUAUGACAAUGACCGUAGCACUCCUCUAAGUCCUUAAAAACGGGCCUCUACUAAAAAAAAUAAAGUAAUCAUGGCAAUCAGUAAGGAAAUCACUGGAUACCCAGAACAAUUAUGCACAUGUGAGAAUUAAAACAUGCAUAAGAAUGGACAAAGUGAGAGUGGGUGCGUACCUUGACAACGAACCACAAUGCGUUAUCAAGAAAUGGGGUUAGUGCACGAUCAAUGAACAUAAAACACGUCACACAUGUCACUAAGCAGAGUGAGAAAUCAUCAGAUAUUACAAUUCAAUCAAAUUUAUUUUUAGAAGAAACAUCUGUUGAUGUAGAGCCCCUACCAAAGCCUAAUUUAUUUUUGCAUGAAUCAAUUUCAUAAAUUCAAUCGCUUGGAAUUACAGAAUUAAAUUCAUGCUUAUUUUAAAACAUCUUUUUAAAAUCAUGGAAGAUGUGAAAAUGGUUUUCCAAAGAGAAAAUGACAACUGAUUUUAUUGAAAAUGGGAUUUUGGGGACCUAAACGUUAAAGAGGGAUUAGGAAUUGAAAAUUAAAUCAUUUGAAAAUUGAAUUUUUCAAAAAUCAGUUUUGAAAGCAUGCAUGCAAGUAUGGACUGUGAAAGUGGGCCUAGGGAGGGUGGCCAUGCAAAAUGAGGUCAUACACGUGGGCCUUGGGUACAAUUGGGACUACUUUGCUGGUGCCAGUGGUGCUUGCAGCUGUCAUCCAUGAUUUCUUCAUUGGGAUCAAUUUCCAUUCUUACUGCCAAACAUUCCAUAACAAUUGACCAAACUAGUAACCCUGACCUUGCAUGAAAAUGAACGUUACCUAGAAACUCACUGCCAGUGAGAUUCAUUGCUCUUUCAAAAGGUCUCAUUUUCUUUCUCAUCCAAUUGCUUUAAGGAGCAUUCUAGCGUCACGAUUGGUGACUGCGCAUCAUCUAGAGCCUUCUUUCUUCUCAGAAUCAGGUUUGCGUGCAGAGGCCUGUGCUUGUUCAAGGUUGACCUAAAUUCAUCUAGGUUUAGAACCGACCAGUUGAGCUUGGGGAGCAACGACAAGAAUAUCAGUCACUUGCGAAGAGAAAACUCGAGAUCUUUCAAGUAAUGCCUGACAUAGAUUCCUCCAACCUGUGGCCAAUAUCUCAUUCCUUGUUGGCCAGACGCCUAUUAGGGCGUAUCUCAAUCAAUAAUAUGAUUUUUCGUUUGUUCACAAUAAAGACCGGAAGCCAUGGUUGUGAUUUAUGCAGUACAGAAGAAGUUGCCAUGGCUGGUAUCCUUACAAAUUCUGGUGUUUCUGCUAUCUGUUCAAGUGCAAAACACAACAGCUUUAUCAAGUUUGUCCCUAACAACUGAUAUUGAGCCCUCUGGAGGAAACCUUGAUAAAUUCAUAAUCACUUUUGACUCAUGCAUGGGCUGCCCAUCAAAUUUUCCUAGCAACGAGACGACUGCUGUCAUCUACUGCAAAGAGAAUUUCUUCUCGCAAAGACAAGAGGAGUUUAAGAAUACACACUAUUCUGCCAUUUCAUUUCCUCUUUCUCCACAACCAACAUAAACCAUAGUGUCUACAUUAGAGUACUUAGAAAGAGCUUAACUGAUGACCGUUUUUCCACAACCAAAUGCCCCAGGUAUGGCACAAAUUUCACCGAAAACAGAAGGGAAAAGGGCAUCAAGAACACGCUGUCCUGUAAGUAGUGGGGUAUCAGGACUACUCUAGGGAAGUUAUUUCUGUCAUUUUGAAAAAGAAAAAUUAAAGAAUGUACACAUGCUUUCAAGUGGACUGGAGCAUUCUACAUAUCAGGUGGUCUGUAGCCACAUGUGCCACUUUGUGGAAGUUGGAACAGUCGAUCACUAGGCUAUUUAGUGUGGCCAAGCCACGUUAAUCAAGGACAAGUCUUCAUACUUAAAAGUCAAAUGGUGCCUUUAGUCUCAUUACACAUGGCUAUUUAAAGAUGAACUAAUCUUUAGUGUAAUGUGAUUAAGACAGUACUAACUGAUCAAUAUUUUUUCUAAUUUUGGAUGCAAAUGCUUGCUGGCUUCAUCAUUGGAUGGGAUAAAGGUGCAUUCAUGACUCUGAAUACUUGCAGUAAUACUUGCAGUAAUACUUCAUUCUCUUUUUUCUCGAUGAGACUUCUUGGCACAAUUUUGCUUCUCAGCAACCUACCUCUCCAUGGAAAAUGAGUUGCGAUUGAUGGUACUGGAUAUUUUCUAGGAAGCUAAAUAUAGAUAUAUAGCACUCAAUGUCAACGAUAUAUAUAGCAUUAACAGUAUAUGUCUCAAUGCUCAUCAGCUACAAGCAAGGGACAAACACUUACAAUGAAUAACUCACGUCAACAUUCCUAAACAGGACAUAGAAGUGACAGAUCUAUAUAUAGAACACUGCAUAUGAGUCACAAGAAAAGAUAAUACGGGUGCAUAGCAGCUCUUAUAUUACAUAUUACUCAUACCGUUCAAAUUCACUCAGUUGGGAUGGGUGGGAGAAGGAGGCCUCUGGGGUGGCUUGUGCGUGUGAGAAGUGGAAGAAAGUUGAAUGGAAUGAAACUGAAAAACAGGGUAGAAUAGAGGUUUCUUGAAUCUUCUGAAAUCUUUAUUUUUCUGAGAUUUAUUCUCUGUUUUUGUGAGUCGUGACUCUACAUAUAUACAUGUAUUUAAAGUUAGUUAUGCCUUAUAACUAAUUAUCUAACAGUACCAAAACUAAUCAUCUAGUUGCAUGUUUCUAAUUAAUGCUAUUUAGUUACAACUAUAUAUGGCUUAACAUCCUCUCUCAAACUCAAAAGUCUAGCUAGAACAGUGAGUUUGCUUCAUAGAUUGAGAAAUUGUUGAAUAGGUAAGGCUUUGGUAAGAGCAUUAGCAAUCUGGUCAUAAGAAGGAAUGUGUUGAACCACCAAAGUCUUAUUGAGCACCUUUUCCUGAACAAAAUGGCAAUCUAGUUCCACAUGCUUAACUCGAGAAUGAAAAUAGGAUUGGCAGCAAGAAAGGUGGCUGAAAGAUUGUCAUAGAACAAAACAAAAUAGGAGAAUAAGAAGAUGAGAUAGAAAACUCCUGAAGAAGAUGUUGAAUCCAUUGAAGUUCAAAAGCAACAUUUGCUAAGGCCCUAUACUCAGCUUCAUUGCUGGAACGAGACACAACUUUCUGCUUACUGGAGUUCCAGGAGACUAGAUUAGAGCUAAAAAAGAUGCAAUGACCACUUGUACUUCGACGAUCAUCAGGGCAACCAACCCAAUCAACAUCAGCAUAAGCAGUAAGUUGAAAAUCAGGAGAAGAAUAAAAGGAAAGACCAAAGGAAGUAGUGCCCUUAAGAUAAUGCAACAAUCGUUUAACAACUUGCCAAUGAAGAUCAGUUGGUUAUUGCAUGAAUUGGCAAAGUUUAUUGAUAGAGAAAGAGAUGUCAGGCCUUGUAAUGGUACAAUAUUGCAGGGCUUCAACAAUGUUGCGAUAUUGAGAAGGGUCAGCCAAGAGGGAACCUUUAGAGGCAGAUAAAGUGUGAGAGGUAGUCAUUGGUGUAUCAAUAGGUUUAAAAUAUGGAAGACCAGCACGAGUUAACAAGUCCUGAAUAUAUUUGGUUUGGGAAAGAUGAAGAGAAGAUCCUUGCCAACAUACUUCUACACCCAAGAAGUAAUUCAGAAUACCAAGGUCCUUGAGAGCAAACUGAAAGUGUAAAGACGAAACCAUUUGGUGGACUAGCACGGUAUUAAGACCACUAACAAUAAUGUCAUCAACAUAGAUGAGAAUAAUGAUCAUGUCAGUCCCUUUCCGAAGAGGAGCUUGCUUCAGACCCUACAAGGCUUUGCGAAGUUUACAGAAAAAACCGGGUUUAGAAUGAUCAACAAAGCCUGGAGGUUGAACCAUGUAAACCUCUUCUUCUAACUCACCAUUGAGAAAGGCAUUAUUAACAUCUAAUUGUUCCACUAACCAACCAUGAGAAAUAGCAAGAGAAAGAACAAUUCAUAUAGUAGUUGGUUUAACAACAAGGCAAAAGGUUUCAAAAUAAUCAAUACCAUAUGUUUGAUUAAAACCCUUUGCAACUAAGUAGGCUUUAAAACGAUCAAUUGAGCCAUUAGCUUUGAGUUUCAGCUUGUAUAUCCAUUUACAACUAAUAAUGCGUGUAUUAACAGGUUUAGGAACCAAUGUCCAUGUGGAAUUGGUGAGAAGAGCAUCAUACUCAGUCUUCAUAGCAGCUUGCCAAUUAGGAUGCAAUAUUGCUUCUUUGAAAGAGGAGGGUUCGACAACAGUAGUUUGGAUAGCAAGGCUAAAUAUUUUUUUGGGUUUAAAAAUACCAUUUUGGCUACGAGUAACAAUAGUUCGGUUUGGAAGUGAAAGAGGAUCAGUGGAGGAGGCUGGAACAAGGGAUUGUGGUAAAGUAGGAAAGGAAGGUGGAUGAGAUGGAACAAAAUCAGUAGGGACAAUAAUGGGAGAAGAAAAAUUAGGUGGAGAAUGAUGAGGAUUCCUUGAAGAUGGUGUAGGAAUAGAGAGAAUACCAGAAUCAAGAAGUGUUAAAGAAGAGUUGGAUGAUGAUACUGGUUGACAGGAUAAAGACUUUGUUAAAAAUGGAAAUCGAGUUUCAUCAAAUACAACAUGACGAGAAGCAUAUAUCCGAGAGGAAGCCAUAUCCAAACAGAGGAAUCCCUUGUGUUUAGCACUAUAACCCAAAAAACAGCAAACAACAAAUAUAUUUGCUAGCUUGUGAGAAGCAUAAGGGCGAAGAUAAGGAAAACACAAGCAUCCAAAACUUCAAAGAGAUGUAUAAUAAGGUAAACGAUUAUAAAGAACUCCAUAAGGAGAAUUUUGUGAAAGAACAGCAGAGGGAAGGCAAUUUAUGAGAAAAAUGGCAGUUUGAAAUGCAAAUGACCAAUAUUUGAGAGGGUAUACCAGCUUGUAUUAACAAAGAAAGACCAACUUCCACAACAUGACGAUUCUUUCUUUCAACUCUUCAAUUUUGCUAAGGAGUAUAAUGACAAGAGACUUGAUGAAGAAGACCAUUUGUAGCCAAAUAAUUCUGAAAAGCUGAAACUGAAACUCAUCAAAUUGAUUUUUAGUAUCAAAUUUUCUUCAGACUGAACACAUUGAUUUUUAGUAUCAAAUUUUCUUUCAACCAUGGCUUGAAAAUGUUGGAACAUAAGUAAAGCUUCAUCUUUAGUUUCCAAAAGGUACAACCAUGAGAAUAUGCUAAAAUCAUCAAUUAGCAAGAGGAAAUAUUGAGCAUUACCAUUGACAGAAACUAUAGGAGUUGCACCCCAAAGAUCAACAUGGAUGAGACCGAAUGGUUUUAUUGCUCUAGAAGUGGAUAUUUCAAAUGGAAAACGAUGGCUUUUAGCCAACUGACAAGACUCACAUACAGAGUUAUUAUUGUCAUGUUUCAAAGGUAUUUUAUAAAGAGAUAAGAUUUUGGAAACUACAUUAAUAGAGGGAUGACCAAGUCUAUUAUGCCAAAGCCUCAAAGAACCAACGGCUAAAGUACUACUAGUAGAGUAAAAUACUAGUGGAUGACCAACAACUCUUGGUGUAGCAAGAAGUUUAUAGAGACCCUUCUCAAUUUUUCCUUGAAGAAGAGCAAGUCUCGUUUCCUGAUCCUUUACCACAAAAUGAGAAGAACGAAAUUCAAUAAAGGUGCCAUUGUUUGAGUAAAAUCGUUGCACGCUAACUAAGUUGGUGGUAAUAGAAGGAACAUGUAAGACAUCAUUGAAAAACAAAGAACCACUUGAAGAGGCAAGAGAAAAUUUACCAAUAUUUGCAAUGGAUAAACCCUUACCAUCUCCAACAAUUACUUUGUCACCACUGGUAAAUGGAUUAUGGAUUGUUAAAUUGUUAAGAUCAGAUGUGAGAUGAUGGGUAGCCUUUGUAUCAAGAAACCAAUAAGUGUCUCCCAUUGUUGCAGAAGUUGUAGUCAUAGCCUCAGGAUUGUUAGAGGUGGAAUGUUUAGAAUCUUUUGGCUGAUAAUCAGAGUUAAACCGAUACCAGCAUUGUAAAGCGGUGUGUCCGAACUUACAACCGAGAGAAAUAAUCUUUACUUAUUCUCUAAAAACUGUUCUUUAUUCCACACAUUAUUUCUAAAAACUGUUUCUAGAUAACAAUGACAAAAUAGUAUUAGGAAUUUUUAAAAAUAAAAAUUGUUUUUAAAUUACAUGAUCUAUAUCAUUCACAUUUGACCAUUAUAGCUUUGUUCAGGAAAACACUUGAAAGUAACCUUAUCGUGAUAAGAGAUAUAAGUUGGCUGUAGUUUCAAACUGAAAACAGAGGAUGGCAAUAGAAAGCAAAGCAUUAGUUAUCUGCAAUCAGUGGUGAUCAUGCCCCAUGUCAAUUUCGGACCCAUAUCUUAAAACCGUAUAAUUUGCAUUUCAACAUUUCUGAUUUCUCAGAUGUUUCAUACUCCACAGAAGAACAUUGUUUGUGAAAGCAUGCAUUUAUGCUGGAUUUUGGAUGAUGUGGGAACUGGGGCAAGGAUCAUAUGGAAGAGUGGUCGAUUUUUUCUGUACUUUAACAUUUGAAAUAGGAGCAGCACGGGCAUUUGUGGGGCUUAAUUGAUUUUGAAGCCUGAAAUUGCGUUUCUGUCAUUUUGUAAAAAAUAUGGCAGAUUCCAUGCUCUCAUAUGUUUGGUCUGUGGCCAUGUAUAGAUGCCACUUAGUGACCAGUUUGUAACUGUCAAUCAUAGUGUUUUGACUCUGGCUCAACAACAUCAGCCAUUGACGGAUUUUCAUACAUGCAAAUCAAAUAGUCUUCUUCCUCCCUUAGGAAUUUCGGUUUAAAUGUUAUUAAGCAUACAUUUGGCUGACAAUUAUUAACCACUUCAUGAUAUGGUUUCUUACCCUUAAUCAAUGGUUUCUAAGUGAAUAUAUGCAGAAGGAAAUCUGAACUGUAGACAGCAGUAUUGAUAAUUAUCAAUAUUCUUUAUAUAAGAGAAUAAACAACGUCAUAGUGAUCGUCGCCUACAAGAAAGGUACAUUUCCCAACAAGAUGUAGUUGUGACUGGUACAUGGACGUAAUUAACUCGUAGAAAAGGAUAAGACCAGUGCACGGCAGCUCUUAUUUUACAUGCUAAUUAUGCUAACCAAAGUCACUCAGUUGGGAUGGGAGGGAGAUGGAGGUUUGUGCGGUGGCUUGUGGGGCGGAGUUGGUGGCUUCUUUUCAGGAGCUUGUGGCUUUUUCGGAGCUGAAGGAGGCUCAAUCUUAUGAGGCGGCUUGUACGAGUCUUCUUUACUCUCGACAGGAGGGUGGCCAGGGUUGUGACCAUAAUGUGGUGGCUUCUCUCCCUUAGGUGGCUUGCCAACUGGGGUUGGUGGCUUGUGUUCAGGAAGUGGUUUCUCUCCCUUGGGAGGUUUACCAAUUGGGGUUGGUGGCUUGUGUUCUGGGAGUGGUUUCUCUCCCUUGGGAGGUUUAGUGGGUGACUUGUGUUCUGGAGGUGGCUUCUCCACCGGAGGCUUGUGCUCCGGUGGUGGCUUCUUGGUUGGAGGGGGCUUGGGGUAAUCAGCAAGAGAUGGGGGGGUGAGAACCACCACUCCAAGGAACAACACUAGCAAGUAUGUGGGAGACAUUUCUGAGUUUGAGCUGAUCAGAUGAUGCAAAACUAGAAGAAUUACGUGACCUUUUAUAGCAAGUAGCUCCCAAUACCCACAUGACACGUGUUACUGUGACCAUAAAUAUUAUAGGGUCCAUUUGUGCCCUACCGGGUUGAAAACUUGGACGCUUGGCCGAGGACACACCGAACUAUGGAGGACUAUUGACGUGUGAUCACAGCUUUUGGAUUUUUCUUCCUGUGCAGCUGUCUAGCGGUUGGCAUUAUUUUUUUAAUCUUAAAUAAAGGCAUAGUUAUAGAGUACAUUUAUAUAUCUUCAGAUAGCCAUUAAUAUAUUUGAUGAAGAAAGACAAGUGCAUACAACAUGUAUACGGCUUGCUUCAAUCGAGUACAUUUAUGAUCAGUUUUCCAGUGCAAGUAAACCAGUUUUUUGUUCCACAACUAUUUUGGAAUCUUGUUUAUCAGUUUCUAUCAUUAUAAUGUCACAUAGGCUGCAAACUUGGGCACCCAAAGAUCUAGUUGGGCAAAUUUGUUUCAGAAUUUCAAUGGUGGAUUCAGUAAUUGUUAAAAGGUGUUUCUUCAUUAAGGAAAGAGUCCUGUAAAAAUAUUGUUAAAAGGUGUCAUAGAAACUAUAAUAAUUAAAUAACUUCUUUUCCCCGUGGGUGGUGUUUCUUCUGGGGAUACCCAAAAUGAGUUCAGAUUAAAAUUGGUUCGAGUCAAAGCUGUCUCUUUUGUCCAGAAAUCAACUAUUUUGCGCAUUGCAUGAAUCGAUAAAGAAAAAAUGAAAGCCAAAUCACACCUCCCCUGCAAAACCUAAACCCCGGUUGCUAACUUUCUAUGUUUCAGUCCUAUUCAUACAGGAAUAUUGGUUCAAGUUUGAGAAAAAUGGCAACUUACCUAGGGAUUACUUGGUUGUGGUUUGCGACGACUAUUUACGCAACCAACCAUGAGUUUGACUUUAACGUCAUGGGUUGAAGCCUCCUACAAUCGUGUAUGAUAGUUCAAAGCUCGUAGUAGAAAUUAUACAGGAAGGAAGAAACCUCCAAAGCUAGCUCCAAAAGAGAAUUAUCACAUCGAUAGCUCCAGAGAUUCCCAAGGGGACUGAAUCAAAGACAAGUUCCUCACUUUUUCUUCUUUUGAGGCCAAAUAUGAACCAAGGAUCACACGACCUCAUUCAACUUCAUAAGUUUGAUUUCAUGCAGUUGAACACUGGGUGAAGGCCAUGACAAGAAUUGAUUAAAAAAUUCUACCACUGUUUUAAGUAAUGGAAGAUUAUUAUCUCUGAUUGGCACCACAACAGCACAUGCUGCUAGAUCUUUCUAGACACUCCAUGCAAUGAAAGUACAAUGGAUCUUGUAACGAUAGAAACUAAGCCAUGCUACAGUACUAGAUGACGAGGUAAAACUAUUAGACAUGGGUGGCAGCCUAUAUGGGAGGGACACAAGUCUAAUUGAUUUGCAUUUCAGCGUUCUAGAUGGGUAUGUUUUGGAAGAUUUGUUCUGGAAAUACCGCACCAAGUAGGAUUCUUUUUUCUCUUGAGUGGGUCCACUUGCAUGCCAAUUAUCGAGUUGAAAAGUAGAGCACCUACCUCGUGCUCGUGGAACCGAAGGUCAGUGAAGUGGGGCUCCUUUUGGCCUCUUGUGUUUCUGUUCCAACCAAGGCGGCGGAGGGAAAAACAGCAAUAUGUCUCCGCUAAAUAUCAACGCAUGAUAGCGAAUGAGGGAGAAAAAAAGUAAUUGGCAUCUCAAUCUCACAAACUUGGUACAGUAGUGACAUUAAUAGUCUUCCACAUGGUUUUUAUUUUAUUUUAUUUUAUAUUUUAUAUUUUCCAUUUUUUUAUUUUUUUGUAUGUCAAGGCUAAUGAAUAAAAUGCGUUAGCUUGUUUUGUGAUUGGAACUGCAAAUGUCCAAAUUGGAGUUUCUCCAUUUCUCAGUUCGGAUGGUUAACUUUAUAAACAAGAUAUAGGAAACAUGUGAACGUCUUGAGGAACAAUUCGAAUUAUUGAUUAGAACUCCUAGGUUGAGUUCCAAGAUUUAAAUCAGACCCCUCUAGCAGCUUCAGGGGUACCUAGCAAUUAGAACAUAUUAAUGAAGAUUUAGGAUUUAGACUCCGGAAUACAAAUUAAUAUGUAUCUUAUGCUCUGACUAGCUUCCCUGCAUAUGCACAAAAUGGAGAUGACCCAAAAAAUAGCAGAAUCGCCUUAGUUUAUGUGGUUAAGGUGAUUCUCCGGUUAAUAUCCACAUUGGCUCAUUAUGCAAAUCAACUGAGCUAUUUUUUUUUUAAUGUCAAAUAGGAACUCCUAAUUAACCUAACCAUUGGCCUGUGUAAAUUGAUUUCACAUGCACAAUGUUGUAGUAGAAGUCCACAUUUUGAAUUUUAUUUUUGGAAAGGUAAGGAAAAUGAAGCAUUGUGUAAUUAUAAAAAUAACUUCAUUGGAAUUCACAAGGUUCACCCAAAAUGGAGCUACAUCCGUAUUCUAUCUUACAGUAGACUAUAUAGAUUGUACAAUAGUAAAUUGCAAAUACAAUUAAUAAGUCUUGUGUUUCCUUACUAAUAAUCCUUUGACAUAAACAUUGCAGCACUAAGGUCCUCUUGGGCAGACACCUUGCACCCAUGAGAGCACUAAGAGGAAGCAAGGCGGAGUCAUGGGUGCAAUGUCAUGACUUGUUGCACUAAGAGAGGCUUGGUGAUGGCAUAGUGCUGCAGUAGCAAGAAUGUUGCCUUGGCAGGGACACGAUCUAGGGACAGAUGCCAAGAAAGGCUUAGCACUCACAUGAGUUGCACAAAGAUGAAUGAAAUAGAACAUCAAAGAGACAUCUUGGCAAGCUCAAGAAAGACAUGUGGGUUGGUAAAUGAAUGGAUGCAAGAGGCAACAACAUGAGGAGUUUCAAAUGGAUAGGGAAUGAGUCAAAGACAUUUGAAAGCUACAAGUUGGAUUCUAAUUACGAUUGCAAUUUGAGUUUGAGUAGGAGUUUAUAUUAUGAUUGUAAUUGUAGUAUGAGUUGGACUAGGAUUGCUUAUCCCUAGUCAAAAUAGGAGUUGUUCAUGCCACACCCUAUGAAAAGAGUUUGAGUAGGGACUAGGAUUGCUUGCUCCUAGUCAAAUAUGGAGUAGGUGGUGCCACACCUAUAAAAAAAAAAGGGACAACAUGAGAGAGAGAGAGAAUGAAUUCACCAAAGAUAUUGUGGGAGUUUUGCUUUGUUACAUCUUGUAUUAUUAUUUAGAAUAGUAAUAAAAUACAAGUUGGGGCUAGAGCCCCAUAAUCUCGUGUGCCUUUGUGGGUUAUUCUUUAUUUGCCAUCUCGUGUGGAUUGGAUUAGAUUGAUGAGGCGAAAUAUUAUGUGGGAAAUUUAUGUUGGGACACUUACCAUAACCAGGUAAAAUCUACCAAGUCUUUUGUAAUAUCUUCUACAAAUAUUUUAGACCAGUUCUUCACAAAACAUCAUAAUAUGUUUUGUGUUUCUCUUGGAUUUUGAGUUGAAUUGUCUUAGAUCAAUUGAAUGCAUCUCAAUAUUAUUAUCUUGUUUGAAGGCUUGAUGAUUUUCCAUUUAACUUUACUUUCUUUAGGUUAUGCUUGAUUCCUUAAAAGUACUAAGGAAAACAAAAAAUAAAAAAAAAUAAAAAAUGCAGAGGGUUAGGACAUGUGUUAUCUAAUUGUCCUAUCCAAAGAUAUUAAGAAAGUCAUGUAGGAAAGUAAUUGAAAACUAGGUCAAGAAAGGAGCAAAAGGGAAUUGUUUUGGUAUUUUCUUUUUUAUUCUUGAAGGUGGCAGAGCUAAAAUUUGAGAAAUCAAGCAAAACAUACUGAAAUUACAUUGAAAGAAAGAAAAUGGUAGUUAAUGUCUUGCAGUACAUGAUAAGGACUUCAUGCAUGUAGUGUGACGACCCAUGUCUUGGACUGAUGCCACACUCACGGUUACACUUAUACCCUUGGUUCUCUCUUUACUACCUUGGCUAACCUAGAUCAGGCUAUGAGAUAGGCUCCUCACCACACCAUCACUUGCCCAGUAAUUAGUGACAUUUUCAAGCAAUGAGGUAACAUGGUGACACCAAGAGGGUUUAUCCCUCGCCCCAACAAGUCUAGACUCGGUCUCAAAAAAAUGGAGAAAAAUGAGGUGUCGUUAUGCAGAAAUACAACAACCAUGCCUUCCUUAUUACUUAGAUUCAGAAUGUGAAGGUGAAAUUGAGAAACAGAAACUCUUGAAACCAGAAUGAAAAUUGAUACUUUUACGAAGAAUUACAACAUUAGAGGAAGACUACAUUCUUCCUCUAUAUUCCUACGUUUCUACACUACUUCUACUCCACUCCAUAUUUCUACAUACAUCUUUAAUCAGUUUUCCCUCCUUUAUAUAGAGCCAUCUUCACACAAAUUCCGCAAGGUAGAAAAGAGGAAUGAAACUUGGAGCAAGGUUCGACUACUGGUUGUCGCUUGUCAAGGCUGGAAUUGAACUUUUUUUCUUGGCUUUUCUGGGCAUAGGUAGUAACUUGUGGUUCCUUUUUGGAAUGAAAAUGGUACAGCUAGAACAUGUGGCACUCUCUUGUUGGAUUAUGUGUCAAACAUGUGGCAGCCAUCUAGUGGAGAUUAUUUCAAUUUUGGGAUGGAGAGUUGGCAUCCAAUUGCAAAGAAAUAUGACAUCUACCAACAUGCAAUGUAAACCUAUAUAGAUCAUAUGGAGAUAGAGAGGAAACAUAUAGAAAUGGAUAUAUACCUAGAACUAGCUUUUUAUUAAAUGAGACGGAGAGCCAACAAUGAAGGAAAAUCAAAAUUUUUGGCUCAUAUCAAAGAAUUCACAUUGUGUUACCCUAGGUUUUCUUAAAGCUUGCACAAAGCCAAAAAGCACACAAAAAAUUAUAUUUUCUAGCUCUCUACCUUGGAUGGUCUCUUGAUCCUACUUGGAGAUGUGCAUAAAUAAAAGGAUUUGAAAAUGACAAUUGACUAAGUAUGUAGUCAAUCAAUUACUCAUUAAUUGACUAGUUGAUCAAUUAACUUUGCAACAUCAUAUGCAAUCCUAAUAGCUAGUCAUCUAAUCAACUAGGUAGUAAAUCAAUAGGCCAAAAAUAUGUUUAUAAUGACUAUUUUGUACAAAAACCACCUAUAUGGUUAAAUAUAAUGCAUUUCAUUUAUAAAUCUUCUAAUUCUUGAAUAACGAUCCUAUCAUCCUUUGAAAGUUUUUAUUACACCUUUUAUACUUUUGUUCUAAAACUUACACAUGUACAUCACCCUUAAUUGUACCAUGAGAACCUAGCUUUUUUUUUUUUUUUUUUUGUAAUUCAUCAAAGUUAGCUUUUGUAUUCAUUACUGUACUAUUUUUAUUGUAACUUAGAAAGCGAGUGUUUUCAAGUGAGUGAAAUUGACUUAUAAAUAUUGUAAAGAUUCAUUGAUGUGUAUCUUAAACUAAGUGUACAAGUUGAAACAUUUGCUAGUAGAUUUUCUCAAGAUUUAGAAUAGAGCUUGAGGCUAUUGAAAUAGGUGGGGUUGCACCAAACCACAUCACAUUGUUGUUUGCACCUUUUUUUCACUCUCUUUUACUUAGUUGCUCUAUAUUUGUUGUCUAGUAAUAUCCUAUAGGCUUGAUGGGUUAGGGAGCAUCCCUUUGUGAAAAAUUUUCAUUCAAUCCUUAGUUGUAUCACGCAUAUAUAAAAUGCCUCAUUGUUUUAAUGGUAUUCAGUCGUGGCAUCACAGAUAUGGGCAUCUAAAUUUUAAAAGUUUGAAACUUUUAUCUAAAGAAAAUAUGGUGCUUUGCCUUUUUGUAAAGCAUGUUGAUGAAAUCCAUGAGAAUUGUGUACUUGGGAAGCAACAUCGAGAUGACUUUUUUUUUUUUCAUUUUUUAUAAUGCGACACCUAAGUCCGGUUUCUAAAUGCUGAAGUGAAAGGGUAGGUAUGGACCAUUGAAAUCUGAUCACAACUUUUGGCCUUUUCCUUUCUCUGCAGCCAUGUUGUCUCUUUUUUCUUUUGCAUGAUUUUCUUACCUAAACAGAAUCAUAGACUUGUUUAAUCUCUAAAUGGUAUUUCAUCCAGCUUUAAGCUACUGUAUUAUAUCUUGGUGGAGGACUUUUAAGAGUGAAACCGACAUAGAGCACAUGCAAGUGGGUAUAUGGGACAUGAAAUUUCUUCUUAUAAAGACUGCAUGGUUUUUAUAUUAGAGUUGUUGAGGCGCAAUGUAUUUAGCUUGUUUUGCAGUUAAAUUAAUUGGAUAAGUAGACAUUGUCGUUUCUAAAUUUCCCACCUAAGAUAGUGACCUUAUCCUUGACUGCUUGAUGAGAUACACAAACAAUUAUACCUUCAAAAUCUACUGUGAAGUGCUUCAUGUAUGUGUGAAGUAUUAGAAAUUUCUUUCUUGGCAACUUGUUUUUUCUUUGCCCUCUACUGAUAGGUUUGACUCAAAUUAAAUUCCCUGUCAUGCUAAUUAAUUUUCACGUGCAUGCUCAAAAGGAUCACGUCAACUCUGGUUUCUACUAUUCAGGUCCAUUCCCAGAUAAACUGGUUCAAAUUUGAGAAAAUGGCAACAGCCCUUUAGUGAUGUUGGUUUGGAGCCAGUAGCCAAACCCGCCCUGAGCUUUACCACUAAUGUCAAGGGACAAAGCCAUUUGAACAAAAACAAUAGCUUCAAGAGACUGAAUCGUGGAUGAAAUCUGAUCCACAUUUCUUCUCAUUUUGGGAACAAAUGAGAACUUAACUACAAAGAUUCUACUGCCUCAUAGUGCUUUUCCUGAUCUAAGGUUGGUUCGUUUCCCAAAUUGUGAGGUACGUGCCAUUCUCACGCUCAGGAGUGUAUCCACGUGGUGGACAUAAGAUGGUGGCUUAAUAUCUGGUGUCGGUGGCUUUACUUUACUAGGAGAGUAGUGUGUCUUCAUCUCAUUCACUGCCGGAGGGUGGCGUAAGCAGUGACGCUAAGGUGGGGCACAGUCAAUAUCAUUUGCAUUUGACCAUUAUAGUUUUCUCCCGGCUUGAAAGUAACCUUAUCGUGAUAAAGGAUUACUAGCACUAGUUCAGAUGACAGUCAUGUUAAAUUCGGACCAUGUUUGUGUCACAUUAUCAGCAACCAUGUGUUUAUGGUUCAUGCUAUCUGCAACUAAACUUGAUAUAUAACCACGUGAACUUCAAUCUAAAUUCUGGAAGUACUCUUGUGAUAGAUGGUGCCUGUCUGCAGAGUCCAUCAAUUGAAAAAUGGAGUGAGUGUAUCUAUAAGAGGGAAGGCUUGGCAAAUGUUCAGUUUUCUGGGAACUCAACAAGGAUCUAAAAUAGAUUGUUUUCUUUGCUGAUUUCAAUGGUUGAAAUUUGAGAAGAUUGUGUCCACAUAACACAACUAUUACUGGUCCUUCUGUUGCAAUUUAUCCUCUAAGGCUCUAACAUGUCUUCCAAUUCCCACUUCCCUGUUACUCCAGGAAAGCUAUUUCUGUCAUUGUGAAGAAGAAAAGAGAAUGUACAUAUCGAUGGUUUUAAGUGACUGGGGCAUUCAUAUCAGGUGGUCUGCAGCCAUAUAUGCCACUUUGUGAAGGUUGGAACAGUCAAUCACCAGGCUAUAUUAGUGUGGCCCAGCCACUUCAAUCAAGGACAAGUCUUCAUACUUAAAGUCAAAUUCUGCCUUUAGUCUCAUUAUAAAUUGCUGUUUAAAUAUUAAGCAAACAUUUGUUUAAUGCGAUUAAGACAGUACUAACUCAAUACUUGUUCUAUUUUUGGAUGCAAAUGCUUGAUGGUUUCAUCAUUGGAUGGGAUAAAGGUGCAUUCAUGAUUAUGAAUACUUGUAGUUAUAUUUUCAUUCUCUUUUUUCUCAAUGAGACUUGUUGGCACAAUUUUGCUGUUCAGAAACCUACCUCUCCAUCGAAAAUCAGUUGUGAUUGAUAGUACUGGAUAUAUUCAAGAAAGCUAAAUAUAGAUAGCACCAAAUAUUAUCGAUAUAAAUAGCAUUAACAGCGUACGUAUGUCUCAAUGCUCAUCAGCUAUAAGCAACGGGCAAACACUUACUAUGAGCAACUUGCGUCAAAAUUCCAGAAUAGGACAUAGAAGUGACAGAUCUAUAUAUAUAUAGAACACUGCAUAUGAGUCACAAGAAAGGAAAUUACGGGUGCAUAGCAGCUCUUAUUUUACAUCCUACUCAUACUGAUCAAAGUCACUCAGUUGGGAUGGGUGGGAGUAGGAGGUUUGUGGGGUGGCUUGUGCGGAGGAGUUGGCAGCUUCUUUCCAGGACCUGGUUGCUUCUCUGCUGGAGUUGAAGGAGGCUUAAUCUUCCGAGGUGGCUUGUAUGAGUCUUCAGCAUUCUCAGCAGGAGGGUGACCAGGGUUGUGACCAUAAUGUGGUGGCUUCUCUCCCUUAGGUGGUUUGCCAACUGGGGUUGGUGGCUUGUAUGAGUCUUCAGCAUUCUCAGCAGGAGGGUGACCAGGGUUGCGACCAUAAUGUGGUGGCUUCUCUCCCUUAGGUGGUUUGCCAACUGGGGUUGGUGGCUUGUGUUCUGGGAGUGGCUUCUCCCCCUUGGGAGGUUUUUCCAAUGGGGUUGGUUUGUGUUCAGGAGGUGGCUUCUCCACUGGAGGCUUGUGUUCAGGAGGUGGCUUCUCCACCGGAGGCUUGUGUUCAGGAGGUGGCUUCUCCACCGGAGGCUUGUGUUCAGGAGGUGGCUUCUCGAAUGGGGGAUGCUCAGGGUAAUCAGCAAGUGAGGGGUUGGUGAGAACCACCAUGCCAAGCAACAGGACUAGCAAGUAUGUAGGAGACAUCUUUGGGUUUGGACUUAAGACAGUGGAAAACUGCGAGAAUUCUCUAGCCUUUUAUAGCGGGUCGACCCAGUACUCACAUGACACGUGUCAUUAUGACACAUGUGCCAUGGGGUCGAUUUGGGUCCUACAGUGUUGAAAAGUUGGGCAUUUGAGGUGUGAGCACAACUUUUGGCCUUUGCUUUC
rnacentral:lncRNA from 1 species